rnacentral:lncRNA from 1 species
ACAAGAGUAAUUGGCUGUUGUUUCUUUGUACUAAUUCAUGUCAAAUAAAAGUAGGCAUAUUUACUGUCCCAUUAAUGACUAGGGAUCCUCGCCAAAAGGCAAAGAGCAUUCUUCUUGUGCAUUGUAAUACCAGGUUUGACGUCGAUGUCUAUGUCUUCCUUGUUCAUUCCAGCGGGCAUUUCCCAGUCAAACGAGUAAAGAAGAUUAGCUAGUGUCAGCUCCACCAUCGCAGCUCCUAGAUUUAAGCCUGGGCAAAUUCUUCGUCCUCCUCCGAAGGGUAUGAGUUGGUAAUCCUGUCCUUUGAAGUCUAUGGAAGUUCCCAAGAAUCUCUCAGGCAUGAACUCUUCUGGGUUUUCCCAGGACUCAGGAUCUCUUCCGAUUGCCCAUGCAUUCACAUACACUAGGGUUUUGGGUGGUAUCUCAUACCCAUCUAUCACACACUUCUCAAGUGUUUCUCUCGGGACUAGCAAUGGGCUUGCAGGGUGCAAUCUCAUCGUCUCCUUCACAAUUGCUUUCAGAUACGGAAGCUUCUGAAGAUCAUCUUCAUCUACAAAACCUUUCUUUCCGAUUAAAUUUCUGAGUUCCUCUUGUGCUUUCGUCAUCGUUCUAGGAUUCUUCAUGAGCAUUGUCAUUGCCCAAACCAAGGUAGCUGCGCUUGUAUCUGUCCCUGCGAGAAAUAUGUUCUGAAAAAAAAUAAAAAAUAAAAAAUAAUAAUAAUGAAAUUAAUUAAGAAAAAAAUAGACAUGGGUCAUUUCUAAUAUGCUUUAGAUUCAUGUUAUCUAGUCAUACUAAUUUUGGGGUAAAAAUAAAUUACCAUGAGAACUGCUUUAAUGUGAUCAAAAGUGAGAUCAAUUGUAAACAGACGAUUCUUCUGCAGUUUAAGUAAGACGUCAGUGAUGUCUUCUUUCUCAGGCUCUGGUCUAUUUGGAUCCAGGUGCUCAUCAAUGAUUUCUUGAUAAAACAAAUCAAAUUCCUUGAAAUUUUUAUCGGCCAGAGCAAUCAUCCCUGUGAGUUUAUCAACCCAGCCCAUCAAAGGAAAAUAAUCCGAGAAAUAGAAGCCUCCCACCACAGCCUGACCUUCACCUACGAGUUUCUGAAAUCUGCUUCUUUCAUAUCCUUCAUCAUCGUACCUCUUACUGAAAGCAACCCUGCAGAUUAUGGUGCUUGUGAGAGAAAUUAAGAUCUCACUUAAGUUAGUGAGCUUGGAAGCAGAAGCAAACUGGGAAAUUUUUUUAAUCAUUUCCAAAACCUCAUCUUCCCGAAUGGGACGAAAGGAUUGCGCCCUUUUAGAGUUGAAAAGAUGGAGAACACAAAUCUUCCUCAUUUCUCUCCAAUAAUCAUUAUAUGGUGAAAAGGCCACAUCCAGGCCAUUGUAGGAUAGCUUCCGCAGACCAAGCAAGGAAGGCCUACCAGAAAAUUCAAGAUCAUGUGUUUUCAUGACCUCUUUUGCCAUUCUUGCUGAAGAAACCACUAGGGUUGGCACAAAACCAAGGCGCAAGAUCAUGAGGGGGCCAUAUUGCUUAGAAAGUCGCCAUAGGUAGAUAUGAGGAGCUGAUUUAUCAAGCUGGAGCAAGUUUCCAAUCAGGGGAAGCCCUGGAGGACCUGGUGGGAGGGGCGUUCUUCUUCGAUUCCGAAGAAGAAACAAGAGAAAGAGAGGGAGAGCUAAAAGGAUAAGAAGCAAAAUCAUCAUGGUUUGGGGUGUUUGGGGAGCUACUGAGAGUAUGUGAUAUGUAAAAAUGUUGAAGGAGUCUCUUUAAAAUUUAAAUACACUUCUCAACGGCAAUGGACUAUCAGCUGCAGUAUUUGAUUUGUGUUGACCAGUGAGCGUGGCCUAUCAUCCAAAGGGCUGAUUGAUGAAAUCAUUGAAAUCAUGGACCUGCUUCAGAAAGCCUACUGCUAAUGCUUAAUUGGCAGUUUGUCACAGAUCGGGUUGUUCUGUGAAAUGGACUCUAGUGGUUAGGAUCAUAACAACACAAAUUUGGCUUGGCCAAAUGAAUGGAAUCAGACUGAUCGAUUACGUGAUGAAUAAGAAGUGAUUAUAAGCCACCCCUCUGUUUCUGUCGUGACAGAAUAAAUACCUAAAGAGGAGGUACAGAAAUUAAAGGACCACUUGUGAAAAUUAUCCAUCAAUUAAUGUGAAUGUUCAAUGAAGGAAAAGUUAGGACAAAUAAAACUAGAAACCUUCUCAAAAAUUUCUCAAUCAAGUAAUAGGACAACGGCAAUUCCUUUCAAGGAUCUGUCCACAAUUUCCACAAGAACAAACGUGGACGGUGAGGACUGGACCCUAAAAUGGGACUUGGCUCCACCGACAGGAGACUUGAAUAAUAUUAUUUAGAAUAAUUUGAAUCCAGAAUCAUGCACAUUGACAUUGUUGGGUCUGUUACAAUUGCAAAGGAACAUUGGGUUUGGGCUGGCCUGCUCAUUCUUACAACUAUAGAUGCAAUUGGGCUCGGUCUAUUGUUCCAAAGGUUAAUUUGAUCAGAUGCAUACAGGCUGCUUAAUGAACCAUCUUGUGUUAUAGGAAGAACAACGUACGAUGAUUUUGCGCUGUGGGUGAAUCCUAAACAAACAGAGAAGAGUUGAAGAUAUCAAAGUGAUCAUCUUCCGGACGUGACAAUAGAAACAGGAGCUAGACAGAGGUGGUUUUUUGUGAAUACCUACCACCCGUGAAAUAUGUGCCAAGACCCGUGAAAUAUGUGCCAGACUGAGAAGGACGAAACAAACUCUACAGCGAUGUUGAUUGACCAAGUGAGACAAGAAAAUUACAAAGUAACUCAAGCAAAUAUCUGGAUAAAAUAUCGAGUCAUACUUUUCCCUUUUCAAAAUUUCGACGCCUUAAUUUUCUACAACUUGUUGAUACCUCGUGCUCCUGGUGUUCCACGUAGUUGCCAAAUGGAUGGACACGCAAUCUCAACCCACAAAGGUUCUUGAUUCAGUCGUUAUACCUGUAAAAGACAUCCGGACAGGGUGUCCGGACCCACCCUCCGAUGGUUUUGUUAGCCAUGGUUAGAGAGGGAGAUAUAAAUCAGUUGGCCUUUUACUAGGUAUCAGGAGAUUACCUUCCUCUUCGUGUGAAGGUUUAUAUAUAGUGCCAGGAGUACUGUUCCUCUCAUUAAUGGUGGGGAGAUAUUUUAUGUUGUCAUGAUGAUAUUUAGAUGGCAACAGGGUCAUCACCACCCUACGGGCGGAUGUCAGAGAUCAUGAGAAGUGAUCAUGUAGAAUGAUCGUGGGAAGUGACUUGUUGUCACCUCAAUCCGUCCUUUCACUCUGCAGGUGAUGGGACGUGGGCCAUGGUUGGUUGUUGUGAUAGCGUGUAAGACUCGCUUUACUUUAGUCAAUGAUCCGGACGAUCAUAUCCGGAUAGCCAUGUUGGUUAUCCGGAUGUAUUGUGGAGCGGGCGCAUUAAUGGAAGUCGUCCGGAUGUCUAUGCUUUGUAAGCGUCGUUUGUUCUUCUUUAAGGUAGUCCGGAUAAAAAGUGCGCCAUGUGUGCUUUAUAGAAAGAUCCAGAUGAGGAUGACCCGGAUGACAAUGCGUGCCAUGUGUCACUGUAAGAUGCGUGCCACGUAUCACUGCAAGAUGCGUGCCACGUGUUUCUUGGAGGGAGGGGUCCCUACACAACUGACCAAGACCGGAAAGUAAAAUAUCCAAUUUGGUGUGUUCUUCUCAAUUAUUAUGAGACAGUCAUCUUAGAGCAGAGCCCAAAGUAUCGGCCGAGUCGUAUCCACCUCGACACUUACCGCAACGAGUCCGAUAUCAAGUGCAAUCCUAUGCACUAACUCAGCACUAAAUUGGUAGGACUCAGUUGGCUUGUCUCAAAUUUCGAGUUAACUCGGUUGAAUCGAUUAAAUUACAAAAGUUUUUAUGAUUCAAAUUAGUGAUUUUUUUUCCCUUUCAAAUCAGAACAUAAAGAUCAUAAAUUUUUUUAAAAAUAUCAGAGGAAGAAGAAACAUUAAAAUUUAAUCGAAUGGUGACUUCCUUUUAAGUCUAAAAGAGAAGAGAUCAGACAGAUGAGGGCUCACUUACCUCAUCACAAUUGACGAAGCACAGGAGCUUUGGGGCUGAUGGAUGGUGACUCCUCAGCGUCGAUUUCAGUGGACUAAGCAUUGGAUACCUUUUUCGGUGAUGACGACCAUUCAAGGAGAGCUUCUACGGUGGGUUUGCAAACUUGCAGUCCGGUGGACAUGGGGAUAGUGAAAACCAUUUUUGGGGGAGUAUAGUAAAAGUGGAAUGUUAUGAUUUAUAUGCACCAUGAAAUUUAAUGAGAAUAACACAUUUGAAUAUUUUUAAUUUAUUAUAUAAUCUAUUUUUUUUUUGUCUUAUAACAUUCCAAAUUAAUUAAAGUAGAAAAUCAAUAAUUAUUUAAAAUAUAUAUUUAAAAAAAAAUCAUAAUUAUAAAAACAACAUUUUAAUAAUAGGUUUAUAUUAGGGAAUCAAUAAUUAUUUUUGUAUGUUAUAAAGAUUAUAUUUAUACUUGAAUUAUUUUUAAUUUAUUAUAUCAUAUAAAUUUUUUAUCUUAUAAUAUUGUAAAUUUUAAUUAUAUUAGGAAAUCAAUGAAUGCUUUUAUAAUUAUUUAAAUGAUGUUAGUUAUGAGACAAUUUUAUUUUAUUAUUUUUUUCUACCUUAUUUAUUUGUACCUAUUUUCUAAUAAUUUACGUAAUUUUUUUAUAAUUUUUAAAACUUUCUAAUUAUCAUAAUUUGUGUAUCGUUGAUACCAAACCCAUACACCGAGACUUAUGUGCCUUAAGAUCGUCCGAAUCAAUAACUGAUAUUGUGACUUUGAACCAUGUCUUAAGAGUCAUCGUUUCCUAGUAGAUAACUAUGAGAACAACAACUAGGAUCAGAAAGGUUUUGCUGCAGGGGGAUCGCAUGGAUGUAUUUUUCAUAUAUUUUUCUGUGUCUCGUGGACAGGUAACUUCCAUCGUUUGAGCUUCCACAUGGUAAUUGAUACCCCACUAAACCGCAACUGGUGGAAACCUCCAAGGAUGUUUCCAGCAAGUUGGCCAAGUUGUCCCGUGAAGGGUCCCCAUUAAUUAUUGAAGCAAUUCAUAUAUUUUUCUGUGUCUCGUGGACACGUAACUUCCAUCGUUUGAGCUUCCACAUGGUAAUUGAUACACCACUAAACCGCAACUGGCGGAAACCUCCAAGGAUGUUUCCAGCAAGUUGGCCAAGUUGUCCCGUGAAGUGUCCCUGUUAAUUAUUGAAGCAACGAGAAAAAACAAAAUUAUUAUGGAAAAUGGAAAAAUGACAUAGCAUAAAUUAUUAAAUUGAUUCCAUAUACAAAUUUUUGAUAGAAAGUUGAUGAAAUUUAACAGCAUUGUGACACCAUGUUUCACGUCGGUGUCUAUGUCUUCUUUGGUCAUACCAUUAGGCAUUUCCCAGUCAAAUGAAUAAAGAAGAUUACCUAGGGCAAGCUGAAUAAUCACAGUUCUAAGAUAUAUUCCAGGACAACCUCGUCGGCCAGCCCUAAAGGCCAUUAGCCCAUAAUGUUGUCCUUUGAAGUCGAUAAAAGUACCCAAAAAUCGCUCAGGGUUGAACUCGUGGGGGUUUUCCCUGGAUUCAGGAUCCCUUCCAAUUGCCCAUGCAUUCACAAACACUAGGGUUUUUGGUGGUACCUCACACCCAUUGACACUGCAAUUUUCAGGUGUUGCUCGCGGUAUCAAUGGAAUGGGUGGAUGCAAUUUCAUUGUCUCCUUGGUUAAUGCCUUGAGAUAAGGAAGCUUCUCAAUAUCAUCUUCAUCUCUAAAGCCCUUCUUUCCUCCUAUAUUUCUGAUUUCUUCUUGGGCUUUCUUCAUCACUAUUGGAUCCUUCAUUAGAGCUGUCAUUGCCCAGACCAAGAUGGCUGCAAUUGUAUCAGUUCCUCCUACAAAUAUAUUCUGCUAAGAAAAUUAGUAUAUAUAUGUGGAAAUAUAAUUCAUGUGUAUCUUCUUCAGAUUAAAAAUAAUUAACUUGAAAAACUGACUACCAUGACCACUGCCUUAAUGUGAUCUUGAGUGAUAUCAAUUGCAAAUGAACUGUCAUUAAUUCUGCCGACCAAUUAAAAUGUCAGCGAUGUCUUCUUGCUCAUAUUUUGUUCUCUCUGGAUUCAGGUGGUCGAUGAUUUCUUGGUAGAACAAGUCCAAUUCCCUCAAAAUUUUCUGGAGCCGUGCAGUUAGGCCAGUGAGUUUGUCUACCCAGCCCAUAAAGGGAAAAUAAUCCUUAAAAAAAGAAGCUCCCAUAAUGGCUUGAGCUUCGGAUAGGAGUGUAUGAAAUCUACUUCUUUCCCAUCCUUCAUCCUCGUACCUUUUACUGAAAGCAAUCCUACAGAUGAUGGUGCUUGUGAGAAAAUGCAGUGUCUCGCUCAAAUUGACGAGUUUGGAAGCAGAAGCGAACUUGGAAAUUUUCUCAAUCAUUCUAGAAACCUCAUCCUCCCGAAUAGAACGAAAGGAUUGCGCCCUUUUAGAGUUGAAGAGAUGAAGAGUACAAAUCUUUUUCAUCUCCCUCCAGUAGUUAGUAUAUGGAGCAAAAGCCAAAUCUAGGCCAUUUUAGGAUAACUUUUGCUGGCCAAGCAGGGAAGGCCUACUAGAAAAUUCUAGAUCAUGGGUUUUCAUGACCUCUUCUGCCAUUCUUGCAGAAGAAACCACUAGGGUCGGCACGAAACCGAGGCGCAAGAACAUGAGGGCGCCGUAUUUCUCAGAAAGCUGCCAAAGGUAGCGAUGAGGAGCUGAUUUAUCAAGGUGGAGCAAGUUCCCAAUGAAGGGAAGGCCUGGAGGACCUGGUGGCCGGAAGAAGCAUUCCUCCAUUGUCUCUCUUAUUUCCAAGAGGAUGAGAGGAAGAGCCAAAAGGAUAAUGUUGGAAUCCGUGCAAGCGAUUAAUGGCGAAAAAUAGAAAAAAAAGAGAAAGAAACGUGGUUUGUUUAAUUGCUUAUGUCCACAGGGAAAAAUUAUAUUUACUAUGUUAAAAUUAGAUUUACAUAAAAGGGUAUUUAUACUAACCCUUAAAAAAAAAUUUCAAAAAUAUCCAUGAAUCAUAACGAGGGCACCCCCAACCUAUCGUUUGCCCCACAACAAAAUAAGUUCAAGUCUGAAUAGUAAAUGUCGUCGCUACACUCUCGUUCCACUCCGCUUCACUCCAAUAUUUUGCCCAUUUUCUUCAUAUGUCUUUUCGCUCAUAUAUGAACCACAUACUACAAGAGAUAAGAACUAACAUCAUCAUGGUCUGAGAAGCUGCUUAUAGGUGUGCUAAAAAAAGUCUCUAACUAUGAUUUCCCUGUAAAUCGUAGACCAUCGUAGACCAUCAUAAUCCAUGGGAGAAUAUUACUUACACCCACAAUAUUAUUAUAAUCUAUAGCUAUUCUUCUGCUUAAAUGGGCUGUGCAACCGAUAACUUGUGCUACACCACUGUUUUAAGUAUUUAGGUCCAGAUGUGGGCCUAUGAAAGCAAAUAAAAAAAUGGAAAAUACGUUAUGGGCCUCCUAAGGAAGCUCAAUAUUAGGAUUAAUGGAACAUUAACUCUUGGUUUUUUUGAGGUAAAUACACCUGAAACCUCAAACAAAAAGCAGGAGGAAGGUGUCUAUAUUAUAUGGGCCCUCUAAAUCCAAAUAUACAUUCAAAUCUUAUUGGGAUCCAUUCCAUGGAGAUGGGUGGCUGAAUAAAUGAAUUUUUGACAAAGAACUCUUUUGAAUUUCUUUAAUUUAUAUAUCCUUCUAUAGUGUGACAUGGAAUAAAAUUUAAUAGAGUAAAUCAAUUUAAUAAAUUAAAGUAAUUUAAUAAUUUAAUUUAAGUUAUUAAAUAUAUUUAAUUAUAUAACUUAAAAUAAAAAAUAAUUUUAAAUAAAAAAUAAUAAAUAAUUAAUUCAUUAUUAAGUUUAUAUUUUUAUUUUAUCUCAUGUUACAAGAAAUCGCUGAUAUAUCGUGUGUAUCAUAUGAUAUUUUAAGGUGAUAUAUGGGAAGCAGAAAAAUCGGUAAAUGUCAUAAAAAAUCUCCUCGGUAUAUAUGGAGAUAAAUAAUCGAUUUUUUCAUUUUAUCGGGCCAGGCGGCGUGUUUUCGUCGAAAUAUAGGCGAUAAAUGGUCGAUUUUUCCCAACAUUGGUUUGUGGGGCCCAGGUCAGUCUCCUGCCGUCGCAAGUUCACGCUGUCAGCCUUGUGGGCCCCAGGAGAGAAUCUGCCAUCAAGCCAGCACUUCACGUCCACGCGUCACCAGACCUUGUGGGCCCCAGGUCACAGUCUCCCACCAGCACUUCAAUGCAUCUCAAGCUGCAUUUUGAGGAAAAUUAAAGUUUAACAAGCGCCCAGGUCAAGUCUCCCAUCAGCACUUUAAUGCGUCACAAGCUGCAUUUCAAUUUUAAGGAAAAUUAAGUUUAAAUUAAAUUAAAUUUACAUUUGAAAGGGAAGGUGUAGACCCCCAUAUGGGGCUCGCUUUUUUAUUUUCUGCAGGUCACACUUCUUGCCAGGUGGAGGACUAUUCUAGGGCCAUGUGUGAAUCACACUAGUGCUUUGAUAGGAGCUAUCAAGAGGCGACGCCUGUGGGAGAAUAUGCAGAGGAGUUUUCGUUUCUGUUGAGAAGUGGCAGGCCAGCUGCAGGUUGGCGGGGGUAGUGCUUUUGGGGCAGUGAGAUAUUUUUGGGAGCUGGCAGCUAGAGAAAAGGAGGAGCGUAUGGGGGGGGGGGGGGGGUUAUGCUGGCGGGAGGGAUUUUGCAAGGGGAUUCAGUUUUUGGGAGGUCCUGGAGCUUCAGGGAGAGUAUCCGUUUAGCUUGAGAGGGAGGUCAGUUGAAGAAGAAAGAUGGCUUGUUGAUUUCUGGCCAACCUAGCUGGAGAGGAUUAUUUUCAGGUAUGUUUAUUGUGGAUUUCUCAUUCGCUUCAACUGGUAAGUUUUUCUUCUCUUGUUUUUGUUGAUUCUUGGAUGAUUUUUGUUGGUUGGGAGUAAGCAUGCUCAUAUCUCUUUCUUUAAUGAUUUUUGUUGAGGACCCGUUUGGCUCUAUUUCAGUUUCCCCAUGAGACAUCUGUAACCUUGUUUUGAUUUUUAUUUAGUACUCAUUUGAUUUCAUCCACCCUCAUAUGAGCUCAUUAAUUAAUAUAUGAAAUGAGGCUUGUAUGAAUUCAUUUCGUUCCUAUUGCUUGCACUCUGUUUUCAUUUUCCCCUGUUUCUGGUACCUGUUCGUGGAGUGCAUCAUUAUUCCCAUUUCUGCCCGUGGGAGCAAAGAGUUACAGAGGAUAUAUCUUCAGUGGUGAAUGGGUUGUAUGUUGCUGUAUGAGAGCUGUCGUCAGGAGAGCGUAUUCAGUGAGAGAGGAAGCUGAGGUUAUAGAGAGAUAUGGAGAGCUUGAAAAGCAAGACUACUUGAGAGAGUGGACUGUGAAGAACAAGCUGGGCAUUUGAGAAGCAGAGAAGGCCUUUAAAUUGAUUGAAGAGAAAGGUGUGAUUUCAUGGAACACCCUUAUUGCUGCUUGUUCUCAUUGUGAUGAUCAUGCAAAGGGCUUGAGAGUUUUCAAGCACAUGACAGAAGAAACUAAUGUAAGGUCUGAUGACUUCACUUUUACCAGUGCCCUUGCUGCCUGUGCAGGGCUUGCUUCAAUGAGCCAUGGUAAGCAGAUACAUGCUCAUCUAAUAAGAACGAGGCUGUAUCAGGAUCUGGUAGUUGACAACGCACUUGUGAACAUGUAUGCUAAAUGUGGUUGUAUUGGCUAUGCAUAUGAUAUAUUCAACAAAAUGGUCCAUCACAAUCUUGUCUCAUGGAACACCAUAAUUGCUGGAUUUGGAAGUCAUGGGCUUGGGGAGAGAGUUGUAGAACUUUUUGAAUAGAUGAAUGCAAUUGGGAUAAAGCCAGAUUCGGUUACAUUUAUUGGACUUCUAACAGCUUGCAAUCAUGCCACAGCCAAGCCCAAGCCAAUACCAAGCCCCAGUCUUGUAAGAAACUUAACUUGGCAGAACCAAGCUCCAGCAAGUCAUAUCCCCUCCAGCCAAGUUCCAACGAGACUCAAUCCUCCCACUCACAAACCGGUGCAACCACUAACAGUUUAAGAGACACACUUAAUUUGUCUCCUAGAAAUAAAGCAAGCAAAGCUGUCCUCGAAUGCCGCCGGUGGCGAAACGCUUCCACUCUGACUACGUCGUGCCCUCAACUAUCGACUCUGAUCGCCGUUUCUCCAGUCGACGCGUGUCGUCGGAAGACUUGACGCUAAUCGAUUCUCUGCCAUCUCAUCUGGCCCUCAUGAUGGCUUCGGUAUUUGUGAUAUUGUUGCUAGUUCCAUUAAGGCUGCUACCAAAGUGAUUGAGGAUCUGCAGGAGAAACUUGAAGUUGCUUUGCAGACCAUGAAGCAGUCUGUAGUUCAUACAAGGAAGUGAAUGAGAGGUUCAAUGAAUUGCAUGGGAAGAAUGAAGUGGAAUUCAACAUCUGUGUUGAUGGGGACAUCACUAAAUUUGACAUUGUUAAAUUGUGCUCCAAUGUAUUCUCGAAAGAGUUUAGAGUUCUGGACAGCUGCUUGCAAUGAUCUCGGGGAGAUGCAUAAAGCUUGGAUAAUGAAAAAGGUGAUAAAGAGCUUAGGGAGCUCCAUUGUUGUUCAUGGAAAAUAGGCUAUCUGUUUGACGCAAAUCAUGGUUACUCAUCCUCCAAAGCCUGGAGGUUAUGAUUUGAAAUGCAAGAAGGUCCUCAAUAAGCUGUCCAAGGGCAAAGCCAAGAACUGACUUCAUGAUCUACAGAGGAUAUUCAUAGACUUAUAGUCCGCGAGGUCAGAACGUUGAUUGUUGGGUAUCACAGUCCCUGAAAGAACAGCAACAGAUUGAAAUAGAGAGUUCUUUGACCAGGAUCCAUUUAGUCAAAUUGGCUUGGUGACCAUAAAGGAUGGGUUGGCUCAGUGUUUAACAGAUCUUGGUGGCAGUCCUGAUUCCCAUGUUAAAGCUUUGAUGGCUUCUGAUAUACCUAGUAUAUCUUCUCCCAAUACUGGGUUAUCUGUUGCAUGUGCACCAUUCACCAAGCAAAAUGCGCUCUCACUGUUGGACUGAAGUCACCACCUGAACUAUAAGCAAGGUCUCCCAGCUCAGUUCCUUAUAUCCAUUAAGAUGAGAAGCUGGCUCAGAAUUUCCCUCAGUAGCAACCUUGGAUAUAAGCCACCUUCACAGUCUUUCCUGUUUGCUUCAUAAGAUGAAAAUCUCCUGAAUGACUAGUCAGAAAUGUACUCCUUUCCCAUCGGUGUCAUCCAGCAGCAAAGAAGUUUGGCUGGAGUUGAAGUUUAGCUGGAGAAUGGCAUUGGCAACUUCGAUUGGGUUUUGGGAUCAGCCUUUGGAAUUGGUUCUGGAAUUCUUGCAAUCGCAGCACUUAAGUUUGGCGCUGCCUCAGCAGUCGGAAUUGAUGUAGAUCUCCAAGAAGUCACUGCUGCAAUUCAGAAUGCCGCUCUGAACAACAUAAGCCCCUAAUAAAAUGCAGUUAACCCUAUUUCCACCCAGCCAAGGAAGAAAGACAGUUCUGCACCGUCAUUUGACCUUAAUCAGGCAGCUAGCACUGAAGAUGAUAGGGCUGAUGGAUCUCACAAUUUAGGCGACUUCCCCAUUGACCACGAAGCCGAGCAUAGUCCCGAAAACAGGUGUAUGUUUACAACUUCAGCAUCGAGGGAGUUGUUCAAUUCAGUAGACAAUGUCAUUACCUUCAAGCCUGUGGACUUUAACCUGAUUCGACACCAAGUCAGAAGCUGCAUUGCCAGGAAAUUUUCCUCCGUCAUAGGUGACAAGCUUUCAAUCCAAAUAGAAGAUGAAGCUCUAGAGAAAAUGUUUAGCUGCUUCACAACUGGGCAGUGUAGUUCUCAUAGGUUUCUAGGGCGCGAGGGGCUGACUGAGAGUCACUUAAUGGAUAUUCCUCAUGGUUCUGAAUAUAUGCUGACAUAUGAGGAUCAGAAUGAAGAUACAUCCAGAUCAAGGCCCUUGGUGCUUAGAUGGAGCAAUGAAGAAUUAAGAUUUUCCACUGGCAAUGAUGGAGUUACUCGUCUUCAACACUGUUUAAAGCUUUGGAGUGCAUACUAUGGCGUUCCUAGAAGCUGUAGAACAAGAGAAUAAUUAUGGGGAACCUUAGCAACAUCAUACCACUCCAAGUCUAUGGGAACUGUUGACUAUAUAUGGCAUAUUGAGGAAUUUGUUCUUGUGAGAGUUCUUGAAACCUUACCUGUUGAUGUUUUAAGGAAAAUAGGAGGGCUCUCAAGUGAGAAAUGGAGCAGCGACCAUCCUGCUCUCGUGUGUACACUGGCCUUUGCAGGUGAUGGCAGUAGUUCUUGACCUGGUUCAAACCCUCUGAUUGGCAUUUAUUGGAGGCUAGUGUACAAAAUGCCAUUUUAUGCGGUUUCUUGGAGUUGGGCUGCUGCUCUCAAGUUCCCAUUGAAGGAUAUAUGGUGCAACCCUAGCAUCUCUUUGAAUGAACAAAUUCAUGCAUGGAGUCUUGUCAUUGUGGCUGCAGUUAGAGGUUCGUCAGCUUACCUUAUGCCUUCAGCGCACUAGGUGGAGGCUCGAGCUCAAUCAAAGAGUCAAUAUUUCUGGGGAAAGCAAAAAGGCCUGACGAAGUCAUUGACAUCUUCCAUUUGAUGCGUGUUGACUGUCGUAUAUGUACCCAGACACUGCCGCAUACCUCCUCCACAUAUGAAUGAUCUUAAAUCCUCAGCACAAGGAUAGUUUGAGCACAUGCUAACUGAAGAUGAUGAUGUCCUUCUACUGAUGGCUGAUGAUGAGAUAAAAUUUGAAGUAUGGUGUAUUGGUAACAGAGAAUUAGGAAUAUGCUAUGAAGCAGGGUACAGUUGACUGUGGUGCUUAUCAUGUGACUGAUUCGAGAGUUGAUGGGCUUGGUGUUUCAUUUUGCAUUGAGGGCAGCCUUGAAGAUGCUAAUGUCACUCGUCCUAUUCCAGCCGAGCAAGCAGUGCUGAUUGCUAAUUCAUCAUCACAUGGAGAAUUGGCGUCCCCCAACGGCUCCUUGAUAGCUGCAGGCAGUGAAGGGUGAGCAGGGUCCUCACAACAUAUGACUAUUCAAGCACCCAUUCCCACUGCAUGGCCACCUUAGUAUGGGCACCUUUUGGCCACGUGACUUUCUUCCACUUCCUCGUCCAUUAAUUUUGAAAAUAAUUUUUCUGAACUCCAUUUUGUAAAUAACCUUUUUUUUUUCAAAUAAUUACAACUCUCAUUUUUCAUCCUUAGGGUUUUUAGGUUCCAAAAUCUCGUUUUCAAUAAAAUUUUGCCGCCAUUUUCUUUCUGACAAGCUACUUUCAAAUUUUCUUUGUUUUUUAAAAAAAAACGUUUUAAAAAUACUUGUGAACUAAAUUCCGUAAUUCCAAGUGAUGGAAUUUAUGGAAUUAGUUCAUGUAACAAUAAACGGGCUUUGGUAGGGGCCCGACAUAUGUGAUUGACUGACUAAUUGAUUGAUUGAUUGAUUUGAUUACCACACAUGAUUGAUUUGUUUUGCUCUAUGACAUGCAUGAGAUUAUUCUUUAAUUGUGCACUAACCCCCUCUCUUGAUAGCGCAUGAUGGUUCAUUGCCUAAGUACGCACUCAUUCUCACUCUGGUUAGUCUAUAUGCAUUUUCCGACUCUCAUAUGUGCAUGAUUCGCUCUAGGUAUUCAUUGAUUUUCUUAUUGAUUGUCAUGUCAACUUCAUUUUAUUAGUAGAGACCCGAUUUUAAGGACUUAGAGGGGUACUACGGUCUUUACCGUACCUUCUCGAUAAGUAACCUGACCCCCGAACCCGAUCCGAUUUUUCACAGACCACCUUUUCCAAAAUAAGGAAUCACACUUAGGGUUUUUUUUCUUAUUUUGUUUACCUUUUAAAAAUAAAACAAAAAUAAGUGGCGACUCCAAGUCAUUUUCCAAUAAAUAAAAAUCGAGCUCGCCAUAGAGUGGAAAACGCAUGAGCCAAAAUGCGGGGUCCACAGAAGGCCAUGCCUUCCAGUAAAUUUAUAUAUUUAUUAUUUUAUUGAUAUAUAUUUAUUAUAUAACAUUAAAAUUAUUAUAUAAGGUAUUCCAAAGAUAAAUUUCUUAAUACUUAUAUAUAUAUUAAAAAUUAUAGGUUUAUAAAUUAAUACAUGUUUUUUUUUGUGUAUAUAAAUAUCAUAAAUUAAUUAGAAUCAAAUUGUUAUAAAUAAAUUAAUUUUAAUUAUUAUAUCUUUUGUAUAAUAACUAAAUACCAAAUAAAUAUAAAUUAAUAAAUAAAAUUAUCAAUAUUUUAAUACAAAAUAAUUAUACAUAUAUUAUCAUUCUUUUUAUAUCAUUCAUGAAUAUAUCCAAAUUAGAUAGAUGUAUAUAAAAUAUGUUUUUAAGUUAUUAAUAUUAUUAUUAAAUAUUAUAAAUUAUAUUAUGCAUGCAUUAAUUCCUUCAACAAAACAAUUUUAAAGUGUUUAUUAUACUUUUAAUUUAAUUUAAAAUAUCUAUUAUACUUCUAAUUUAAUUUUUAAAAGUUUUUUUCUUAUAUUUCUAUGAGUUUUGAUUAAUUUUUUGUUUAUGGAUAUUUUAUGUCAAAAUAUCAGUUGAUAUUUCAUGUCAAAAUAUCAGUUGAUAUUUCAUGUCAAAAUAUCAGUUGAUAUUUCUCCAAUAUAUUCCUAAAAUUGAAGUACUGAUAUAUUCAUAAUUACCAAUAUUUUUAUAAUUGAUUAUAAGUUAAUUUUAUCAAACAAUCUUAAUAUACUUAAAAUAAUAAUUAAAUAAUAAAUUUUAAAUCAACAAUUUAAUAAUAAUUUAACUUAAUGUCAACUUAAAUAUUUACUUAAAUUUUACCCAACACUCCCUUAAUUUUUUUUUACAAACACCCGCUUAAUUUUUGUUUGAAUUGAUUGUUAUAGAAACCUUGAAUCAAAUUAUAAUAAUAUUAAAAUGAUUGACGUGUAGGAUAAGGAAAAAGAGAAAAGGCAUGGACGACUUUUCAUCGAAUAAGAUAAGAAGAUGAAAACAAAUAUACGGAGAUGCUUCCAAGAAUGGCAUGGAUGAUAUAUUUCCUUUUGUUUUAAAUGAUCGAUCCUGCUGGACCACAAACUAGGAAUGAAAAAUGUAAAUAAUUUGAGUCUGAAUCUUUCUUUUGAGGUUUGAUAUUUUCUGCCACUUUGUUCUUAAGCAUUUUCAACUUAUCUUGGAAGUAGAGGAAAAAUGGACUGAGCCCAUGGUCUAAUAACCAAGGACCUUCAUCGUCUGAAUUUCAAUAUGAAAAUGGUGCAAUUAACAUUAUAUAAAAUUGAGUACCGUCAUCAAUACCAUAAAAUAUUAGGUCAUAUUAUUGGAUCCAAAUAAGAAAAUCGUAGGAUUAAGAGUACAUUAUUCUCAGAUAACUUUUACAGGAACAUACACUAGAUGUCCAUUAAUUAUAUUUCUUAGCCAUAAGGCAAAGAGCAUUCUUCUUGUGCAUUGUAAGACCAGGUAUGACAUCAAAGUCAAUGUCUUCCUUGUUCAUUCCAGCAGGCAUUUCCCAGUCAAAUGAGUAAAGAAGAUUAGCUAGUGUGAGCUCCACUGUCACAGCUCCGAUAUGUAUUCCUGGGCAAACUCUUCGGCCUGCUCCGAACGGUAUCAGCUUAUAAUUUUGUCCUCUGAAGUCCACGGAAGAACCCAAGAAUCUCUCCGGUAUGAACUCUUCUGGGUUUUCCCAGGCCUCCGGAUCUCUUCCAAUGGCCCACGCAUUCACAAAUACUAGGGUUUUGGGUGGUAUCUCAUACCCAUCUAUACUGCACUUCUGAAGUGUUUCUCUUGGAAUUAGCAAUGGAACUGCAGGAAGCAGCCUCAUCGUCUCCUUCACUACUGCCUUGAGAUAAGGAAGCUUCUCAACAUCAUCUUCCCCUAUAAAUCCCUUCUUUCCAAAUGUAUUUCUCACUUCUUCUUGGGCUUUCUUCAUCACUCUGGGAUUCUUCAUUAAUGCUGUCAUCGCCCAAAUCACGGUGGCUGCGCCUGUAUCUGUUCCUCCCACAAAUAUAUUCUGCAAAGAAAAUUAAUAUUCAAGUUAAAAAAGAUUAAUAAUAUUCAAGUUAGUGAAGGAUUGAUUGAUUACCAUGAGCACUCCUUUAAUGUGAUCCCAAGUGAUAUCAAUGGCAAACGAGUUGUCCUUCUGCAGUCCAAUCAAGACGUCGGUGAUGUCCUCUUGUUCUUGUUUUUUUCUGUCUGGUUUCAGAUGAUCUUCGAUAAUUUCCUGGUAGAACAAAUCCAUAUCCCUGAAAGUUUUCUCGAGCCGAGCAGUCAGGCCGGUGAGUUUAUCGAGCCAACCUAUCAAAGGAAAAUGAUCCGAGAAAAAGAAGCUUCCCAACAUAGCCUGAGCAUCAUUUAGAAGUCCAUGAAAUCUACUUCUUUCAAAUCCUUCAUCCUCGUACCUCUUGCCGAAAGCAACCCUACAGAUUAUGGUGCUUGUGAGAAACAUCAGUGUCUCGCUCAAGUUGAUAAGUUUGGAAGCAGAUGCCAACUUGGAUAUUUUUUCAAUCAUUUGGGAAACCUCAUAUUCCCGAAUAGGAGUAUAGGAUUGAACCCUUUUCAAGGUGAAGAGAUGAAGAACACAAAUCUUUCUCAUUUCUCUCCAAUAAUCAUUGUAUGGUGAAAAGGCCAAAUCUAGGCAGUUGUAAGAUAGCCUUUGAGGGCCAAUCAAGGAAGGCCUACUAGCAAAUUCAAGAUCAUGUGUUUUCAUGACCUCCUUUGCUAUUCUGGCGGAAGAAACCACUAUGGUGGGGAUGAAGCCGAGGCGCAAGGACAUGAGGGAUCCGUAUUGUUUAGAGAGUUGCCAUAAGUAGCGAUGACGGGCUGAGUUAUCCAUCUGGUGCAGGUUCCCAAUGAAGGGAAGCCCAGGAGGACCCGGUGGAAGGUGGAGUAGUCCUCCAUUUUUUCUGUGUUUUCGAUGAAGAAACAAGAGCAAGAGAGGAAAAGCUAGAAUGACAAAAAGCAACACUGUCAUGGUGUGAAGAUCUUCACUGCUAUGAGUUAGUGCUAUAUUGCUAUGUAAGGAAUGGGCAAAAGACGAAUCCUAUAUAAUAUAAUUCUGGACUGGGCUCUUGCCGUAUCGUACCAAUCUUAUUAAAUUUUAAUUAUUACAUAUUCCAAGAACUCAGUACGUGGAGAUAUAUUAUAUAUUGGCCUUAAUUGGAAGAGUACAUGUAACUUACCUAAUCCAUAAAAGGGAUAUAAGAUAUGAAAAUACUAAUAUAUCCUUUAAAUUUUUAUAUAUUACCACUAAUUGAUUUUAAGAUUAUAAAAUAAUGAUGAACCAAAAUAUUCAUUGACCAUUCAAAUAAACUUUUUUUAUCUUUAUUGCAUUACUAUUCAUGCAACCAUAAUAAUUCUAUUUUAACUAUUUGGAUUUCUAAUUAUUUUUUAAAACUUUUUUUUAUAAAUAAUUGAAAAAAUUAGCAUUAUUUUUUAUUUUAAAUUAUAAAUGAAGAAAAUUUAUGUUCAAAAACUAUUUUAAAAAAUACUUUCUAAAAAAAUGGUAAUAUGAUUUAUAUUUUUUAUAUUUUCUUUUUGAAAAAACAUUUAAUUAAAAAAUGAAAACUAUUUUUAAAAUUAAAAAUUAAAAACCUUAUUUAGUACUAUUUUUUAUAUGAAAAUAAUAAAAAUAAAUACAUUUCAUUAAUUAAUUAUCCAUUUUUAUUUUUCCAUUAGUUAUUUUAAUAUAAUAUAUAUAUAUAUAGCAUGUUUACAAUUAAACAAAGGAAUUUGGUCAAUUAUGUGUUUUUCGUGUGACUAUCUUUUACAUGAAAAAUAAUUAAAUAACUAAAUUAUAUAUAUUUAUUACUUUUUUUAAUUUUUUUUCUUUAUUUUUUUUUUGUCUAAUAGAAAAUUUUAAUAUAUCCAUAAUUAACAAAGUAAUAGAUCAAUUGUGCACAUUUUCAUCUAUUAAAAUAAAUUACUUUCUAAUUUAAAUAAAUAAAAUGAAAUAAGUAAAUAAAUUUGAGGUUAUUUGUAUUUUUUAACAUAUCUUAUAUUAAUAUUUUUACGGUUAAAUUAAUUUUUUUUAUUUUUUAUUUAAUUCCAAAAAUAAAAUGAAAUAAAUAAAUAAAUUUGGUAGUUUUUAACCAAUCUUAUAUUUAUAUUUCUUAUGGUUAAAUAAAUUUUUUAUUCUUUUUUCUUUAUUUCCAAAUAUAAAAGGAAAUAAAUAAAUAAAUUUGUCUUAAAUAAUAGUUUUUAAGUAAUUUCUUGUUUUAUUUUUAAUUAAAUUUUGCAUUGAAAAUAAAAUAAAAUAACGUUUUAUUUGUUUUGAUUAUUUUAAAAGUCAAACUAUUGGGAACAUAAUUUACAUACUCAUGUGAAUAUAAUUUAUGCAUAUGAAUGUGUGAAACCAAUGUUUGGUUAAUCUCAGUUUUAAUGAUAACAAAACAAGGUUUAGAACUAAUGAUUAUAUUUUUAAGUGUGAUUAGGCAAGACGAUUUUCAAAGUGGCAAUUACAAAGACAAAUUAAGCCAAUGAGAAAUCAUGAAAAAAAAGACCACCUCAAAGAGAAGUGUUUUUCAAGACCCAAGCUUCAUAAAGAUCUCUUUGUAAGGUUGUUGGUGCACUAGAAUUUUUAUGCAUUACAUUCUUUACUUAUGCACCAAAGUCAUCCAAGAGUUAUUUUGUUGUAAAUAUUUUAAAUUGGAUGAUUUCAUGUUUUCAACUAAAACCUUGUGUCAAAUGUUUUUCAAACUUGUUUAAAAGGUUUUAAGUUGAAAAAGUUGGUUGUUGAGCCAAAAACGACUCAACUGGUUGAACCAGAUGAGGAACCGGUCGACCCCCAACUUAACCGAUCUAGGAGCAGGUCGACCCCCAAUUCAAUCGGUCAAAGGUGUGAACAGUAACCGAUCGACCGCCAACUCAACUGGUCGAGGGGUGUAAAAAUCUUCUCUCUCUUCCAGAAUGGUUGUUCAACCAAAUGAGAAAUCAGUCAACCCACACCACAAUCGGUCGAGGUCCAACGGUCACCUGCUAAGCAUUAAAUGUUAACGGCUAGUCAACCGAUCGACGCUUAACUCGACUAGUCGAACCCUCAACGGCUAGUUUGACUUUUUUUUCUUCUAUGAAAAGACUCCAAAUCUUCAUUAUUUAUGAGCUCAACCUUCCCAAACCUUUUUUGAAUAUAUUUGAGCCAUGGAAAAGUGUUUUGAGUGCACCAUUAUUCUAAAACUUGCAUAUCAUUAGUGCACCUUUCAAUCCUAGUUUUCUUGUAUCAUUUGAGCUUAAAGAUUUUGUACUAGGAUUUUGUGAGAUUAAUUAUUUGUAUAUAUUUGAGAGUAAGAUUCUCAAGUGUGGGGUAUCUCUUAAGGAUUUUAAAGGGUGCUUAGAGCCAAAAGUCCAAGAUGGUAGAUUGGAACCAUAAUUCAAUUUUAUUACUUGAAUGUUUGGUUUAGAAGCCUUGAAUUAGUAGAACCUCAAGCUUAGGAUUGAAACUAGAGGAGAGUGGAUGUAGGUCGGGUUGCGUCGAACCACUAUAAAAUUUUGUAUUUGCAUUCUCUCUUCCCUACUCUUUUACUUUAUAUGCAAUUGUCUUUAUAUUGUUUUAUUAUAUACUUACAUAUAUUUGUCUCUUACAUUCACAUAGUUUAAAUUUUGCAAAAAAAAACCAUCACUCUAUUUACUCCCCCCUCUAGGGUGAUUACCAUAGGUUGAAUUAGCCUAAAUUUUCUAACAGUAUAAAAUGUAUACCAUUAUACAAGGCUAUUACACUAAUUGUACAAGGGGUGUACAAAACUGUACAUUUUGAACAACUUUUUUUUUCUUGUCAUCUAAGGAUUAUACACUCUCUUACCACAAAUUCUUUCAUUUCAUGUACUUUAUUUAACUUACAUAUGACAAUUCAAAUACUUACCCUAAUAAUGAUAUUUGAGGGAAAAUUUUGUUUUUACAUUUUAUAUCAUUUUCUAAAUUAAACCAAUGGAAACAUGAUUCAUACAUCAUAUGUGGACACAUAAUGUAUGCAUAUGGAUGAAAUUUAUAUCAUUGUACAAGGGUGUUAUAUUAACUGUGCAAGGUAAAUGUUCAAUUGGAUAAAAAAAAUGUUCUAACUAUACAAAACAAAUGUUCUAACUAUACAAGGGGUAUACAAAGCUAUCCUUUGUGAAAGAUUUCAAUCAAUUUUGGACAACUUUUUUUUUUUUUUUUUUUUGUCUUGUCAUCUAAGGAUUGCACACUUUCAAGGUACACAUUUCUCUAUCACACACUCAUCUUAUGCAUUUUAUUUAACUCACACAUGACAAUUUAAGUACUUAUCCUACUAAUGAUCUUUGAGAGAAAAUUUUGUUUUUUCAUCUUCCACUAUUUUUUGAACCAAACAAAUGAAAACGUGGUUAACCUACCUAUGGUUACACAUUGAGUAGGGGGUAUAUGGAAUUUGGGUCACUGUACAAGGUAUUUACACUAAGUGUACACGACAAAUAUACUAACUGUAGAAGGGUGUACAAGACUAUCAUUUGUGAAGAAUUUUAAGUGAUUCUGAAAAACUUAUUUGUUUAUUUCCCCUAACCAAGGAUAGAUGACAUUCCUUACAUACAUUGGUUAAGCAUACUGUGGACCCCGCAUUUCGGCUUAUGCAUUUCCCACUUGAUGGCGACCUCAAUUUUAAUUUGAAAAAUGAUUUUUAUUGAUUUAAGAAAAUAACUUGGAGUCGCCACUUAUUUUUGUUUUAUUUUUAAAAGGGUAAACAAAAUAAGAAAGAAAACCCUAAGUGCGACUCCUUAUUUUGGAAAAGGUGAUCUACGAGAAAUCGGAUCGGGCUCGGGGGUCAGGUUACUUAUCGGGAAGGUACGAUAAAAGACCAUAGCACCCUUCUAAGUCCCUAAAAUCGGGUCUCUACUAACAAAAUGAAGCUGACGUGGCAAUUUACGAGUAAAUCAGUGAAUAUCCUGAAUGAUCAUGCACACAUAAGAGUCAAGACAUGCAUAGACAACGAUUAGAGGGAAAAUGGGUACAUACCUGGGCAACAAACUGUCAUGCGCUAUCAAUAGAGAGGGUUAGUACACUAUAUAGAGCACAAAACAUACCACAUGCAUCACUAAGCAGGGAUUAAAAUUGUUCGAAGGAAAGCUGGAUUUUUUAAAUUCAUUUGAGAAUCGGAAUGUUAGAUAUUAUUUGAAAAUUGGAUUCUUAGGAAUUAAAUGUAAGAAAUGAGAACUUUUAGAAAUUAAAUUUGAAAGAAAAUUGGGAUUUUGAAGAAUUAUUUGAAAGUUCGGGAUUUUUAAGAAAAAUUAAGUUACGAAAAUUGGGAUUAUGGGAGUUAAAUUUCGAAAGGGAUCAGAAUCAUAAGUUUUUUUUUUUUGAGGCGUAGAAAUUAUGAAAGUUGAUGUGUAAAAAUUGGAAAUCUUAGAAAUCAUUCGAAGGCAGAAUUUAUAGAAAUAAUGAACAAUAUGAUAAUGAUAAUGAUAAUAAUAAGUAGCGGGGUAAAUACGGGAAUUGGAGCAUGGGAAACUGGAAAUUAAGUUCGGAGAUAGGACAAUUGGAAUUUCAGAUAGCUAAAUUUAGGAAUCAGAAUUUUGAAGAAUUAGACUCUAAUGAUUGAAAUUUUUAAGAGAAAUAAAUGGGUAAGUAUGGAGUAAUGUUACGGAUUAAUCAAAACGAUAUUUGGGCGGAUGAAUAGUGAAUAGUGGGAUUUUGAAAAUUAAAUUUUGAAAGUCGGGCCUUUGAAUAAUUAACUCUAAUUAUUGGAAUUUUUAGAAGAAAGAAGCAAGUAGACAUGGAAUUUAUAAUAAUGAUAACAAAGAUGAUAUUUAAAUGAAUAAAAGUGAAUGGUGGAAUUUUUUUUAGUCUGAAGGUUAAAUUUGGAAAUCCGGUUUUGAAGAGUUGAAUUUUAAUGAUUGAAAUAAAUAAAUGAACGAAUAUGGAAUAACGAUACUUAUUAACAAAAAUAAUGCUCAAACGAAUAAAAUAGUGGGAUUUUUCUAAUUGGAAAUUUGAAUUAGGGCGUUGGAUUUUUAAAGGAUAUGACUUUGAAUAAAUAGGUAAGUAUGAGAUUAUAAUACUAAUUAACGAAAAUAAUAUUUAGACGAAUAAAGAUGGAUAGUAGAAUUUUUGGGAUUGAAGUUUUAAUUAAGGCAUGGGGUUUUCGGAAGAUUGGACUUUGAAUAGAUGUGGAAAUAAUGAUUCUAAUUGAUGAGGAUAAAAUUUAGACGAACUGUAGAAUUUUUAGGAUUGAGAAAUUGAGUUAAGACAAGAGAUUUUUGGAGAACUAGGUUUUAAAUAAAUAGACGAAUACGAGAUAAUAAUCCUAAUUGAUGAAAAUAAGAUUUAAACGAAUUACUGAUAAACUAAAUUAAGACAGGGGAUUUUUGAAGGAUUAGAUUUUAAAUAACUAAAUAAACAUGGGAUAAUAAUUCGAUUUAUGAAAAUAUGAUUUAAACAAGUAUUUGAAGAAUUAAAUUAAAAACAUGGGAUUUUUGAAGGGGUAGGCUAGAUAAAUAAAUGAAUGUAUAAGAUAAUAAUUCCCAUUGAUGGACAUAAGAUUUAAACGAGUAUUUGAAGAAUUAAAUUACAGAAGUAGAGGAAAAAUGGACUAAGCCCAUGGUCUAAUAACCAAGGAGAUGUCACUAUGAUAGCCUUCAUCGUCUGAAUUUCAAUAUGAAAAUGAUGCAAUUAACAUUAUAUAAAAUUGAGUACCGUCAUCAAUACCAUAAAAUAUUAGGUCAUAUUAUUGGAUCCAAAUAAGAAAAUCGUAGGAUUAAGAGUACAUUAUUCUCAGAUAACUUUUACAGGAACAUACACUAGAUGUCCAUUAAUUAUAUUUCUUAGCCAUAAGGCAAAGAGCAUUCUUCUUGUGCAUUGUAAGACCAGGUAUGACAUCAAAGUCAAUGUCUUCCUUGUUCAUUCCAGCAGGCAUUUCCCAGUCAAAUGAGUAAAGAAGAUUAGCUAGUGUGAGCUCCACUGUCACAGCUCCGAUAUGUAUUGCUGGGCAAACUCUUCGGCCUGCUCCGAACGGUAUCAGCUUAUAAUUUUGUCCUCUGAAGUCCACGGAAGAACCCAAGAAUCUCUCCGGUAUGAACUCUUCUGGGUUUUCCCAGGCCUCCGGAUCUCUUCCAAUGGCCCACGCAUUCACAAAUACUAGGGUUUUGGGUGGUAUCUCAUACCCAUCUAUACUGCACUUCUGAAGUGUUUCUCUUGGAAGCAGCAAUGGAGCUGCAGGAAGCAGCCUCAUCGUCUCCUUCACUACUGCCUUGAGAUAAGGGAGCUUCUCAACAUCAUCUUCCCCUAUAAAUCCCUUCUUUCCAAAUGUAUUUCUCACUUCUUCUUGGGCUUUCUUCAUCACUCUGGGAUUCUUCAUUAAUGCUGUCAUCGCCCAAAUCACGGUGGCUGUGCCUGCAUCUGUUCCUCCUACAAAUAUAUUCUGCAAAGAAAAUUAAUAUUCAAGUUAAAAAAGAUUAAUAAUAUUCAAGUUAGUGAAAGAUUGAUUGAUUACCAUGAGCACUCCUUUAAUGUGAUCCCAAGUGAUAUCAAUGGCAAACGAGUUGUCCUUCUGCAGUUCAAUUAAGACGUCAGUGAUGUCCUCUUGUUCUUGUUUUUUUCUGUCUGGUUUCAGAUGAUCUUCGAUAAUUUCCUGGUAGAACAAAUCCAUAUCCCUGAGAGUUUUCUCGAGCCGAGCAGUCAGGCCGGUGAGUUUAUCGAGCCAACCCAUCAAAGGAAAAUGAUCCGAGAAAAAGAAGCUUCCCAACAUAGCCUGAGCAUCAUUUAGAAGUCCAUGAAAUCUACUUGUUUCACAUCCUUCAUCCUCGUACCUCUUGCCGAAAGAAACCCUACAGAUUAUGGUGAUUGUGAGAAACAUCACUGUCUCGCUCAAGUUGAUAAGUUUGGAAGCAGAUGCCAACUUGGAGAUUUUUUCAAUCAUUUGCGAAACCUCAUAUUCCCGAAUAGGAGUAUAGGAUUGAACCCUUUUCAAGGUGAAGAGAUGAAGAACACAAAUCUUUCUCAUUUCUCUCCAAUAAUCGUUGUAUGGUGAAAAGGCCAAAUCUAGGCAGUUGUAAGAUAGCCUUCGAGGGCCAAUCAAGGAAGGCCUACUAGCAAAUUUAAGAUCAUGUGUUUUCAUGACCUCCUUUGCUAUUCUGGCGGAAGAAACCACUAUGGUGGGGAUGAAGCCGAGGCGCAAGGACAUGAGGGGUCCGUAUUGUUUAGAGAGUUGCCAUAAGUAGCGAUGAGGGGCUGAGUUAUCCAUCUGGUGCAGGUUCCCAAUGACGGGAAGCCCAGGAGGACCCGGUGGAAGGUGGAGUAGUCCUCCAUUUUUUCUGUGUUUUCGAUGAAGAAACAAGAGCAAGAGAGGAAAAGCUAGAAUGACAAAAAGCAACACUGUCAUGGUGUGAAGAUCUUCGCUGCUAUGAGUUAGUGCUAUACUGCUAUGUAAGGAAUGGGCAAAAGAUGAAGCCUAUAUAAUAUAAUUCUGGAUUGGAUUCUUGUCGUAUCGUAUCAAUCUUAUUUUAAUAUUUACAUAUUUCUCUAUCAUCAAAGAAAGCUACCUAGGAUGGAGAGUUUAAGUCCAAAAUCCAUUGGUAGAAAAAAAUGGUAAGAAUAGUAUUCAUCUCAAAAUAUUUAUCAAAUUAAUCUUUUUGUAUUCACCUAAACAUCCACAUAAAUUUUUUUUAAGUGUAUAAAACCAUCAUUAGUGACUGUAGUUUUAAAAGUUUCAUAAAUAUCCUCAAAACCACAGUAUGUAACUAUGGUUUUACAAUUUUCCACAGUUAGUAACUGUGAUUUUAAAAUUAUUUUUAGUUCAUCCAUGUUUUAAUGGUAUUAUAAUUUUAAUAUUAUUUUUAAAAUAUUUUUUUAUCAUGAUAACCAUAAAACCACCGUUAUUAAGGAAUAACCUAAAAUCAUAAUCAUUGACAUUAAUUUUUAUAUAAAAAUAUAAAAUUUUAAAAUAAUAUAAAUAAUUUAUUUANNNNNNNNNNNNNNNNNNNNNNNNNNNNNNNNNNNNNNNNNNNNNNNNNNNNNNNNNNNNNNNNNNNNNNNNNNNNNNNNNNNNNNNNNNNNNNNNNNNNAAUUAAAGAAAAUUAUUUUUUCAUAUUAUUUUUAAAUUUUAAAAUAAUUAAAUAAAUUAUUUAUAUUAUUUUAAAAUUUUAUAUUUUCAUAUAAAAAUUAAUGUCAAUGAUUAUGAUUUUAGGUUAUUCCUUAAUAACGGUGGUUUUUAUGAUUAUUAUGAUAAAAAAAUAUUUUAAAAAUAAUAUUAAAAUCAUAAUACCAUUAAAACAUGGAUGAACUAAAAAUAAUUUUGAAACCGCAGUUACUAACUGUGGUUUUAAGGAGAAUUGUAAAACCACAGUCACAGACUGUGGUUUUAAGGAUAUUUAUGAAACUUUUAAAACCACAAUCAUUAAUGGUGGUUUUAUACAUUUAGAAAAAAAAAUCUAUGUGGAUACUUACAUGGAUGCAAAAAGAUUAGUUUGACAAAUAUUUUGAGAUGGGUACUAUUCUUACCAUUUUUUUUCUACCAAUGGAUUAUUUUGGACUUAAACUCUAGGAUGCAAGCAUUUGUAUUUUUGCAUGCUCCUCUCAAUUUUUUAUAAGAGUAUGGCAGUUUUAAAAAAUAAUUACUAAAUUAUCGUGGUAGGAAAAAUAAUUUUAAAUCUAUUGUAGUUUUGUCCAAAUAGGAAAAAGAAAAUAAAUUAUAAGUAAAAAAUCUCUUUUCAAAUGAUGAUUUAUGAAUUUUUAAAAAAAAUUAUUAAAAAAAAUCAUUUUUCCAAUACACAAUUUAUAAAAUUACAUUUUUUAUAUGAGAAAUUGUCUCUCAAAGAGACGAUUUAAAAAGAAAAACAAAAAAAAAAUUGAGAAAUAAAUCGUCUCUUCAAGGGAUAAUUUUCACAAAAAAAAUUAAACAAAGAGAAAUUGUCUCUUGAAGAUAUAUAUAUAUAUAUAUAUAUGUGUGUGUGUGUGUGUGUGUAUGUAUGUAUAACAAGUGAGAAAUUCUCACUUAAAAAAAGAAAAAUUCAAAAAUCCAUUUUUUCCAUUCUUUAUUCCACUUAUACAAUAAUACAAUUAUUAUAAAUAUAUAUUAUAAAAUUAAUUAAUUUUAUUUACUAGAUUUAAUAUAUAAAUAACAUACUAAAUUUAAUAUAAGAUAAAUAAUAUUUAUCUAUUUUUUUUUUCUCUUAGUUUGGAAUUUAAAAAAAAAACUAUUAUCAAGUUAUGUGAAAAAUGAGUUUAAAAAAAAUGUUAUUAAUUUAUUAAAUAAUUAUUUAUAAAAUACUUAAUUUUUUUGUUUUAAUUUUUAAAUUAAUUUUAUUAUAUAAAUUUUAAGAUUAAUCUUUAAGAGAUAAUUUCCACACAACAAAAAAAAAAAUAACAAGAGAGAAAUUCCCACUAAAACAAAAACAAAAACUUCAAAAAUCCAGUUUUCCAUUCCCUAUUAUUCUCAUACAAUAAUACAAUUAUUAUAAAUAUAUAUAUUAUAAAAUUAAUUAAUUUUAUUUAAUAAAUUUAAUAUAUAAAUAAUAUACUAAAUUUAAUAUAAGAUAAAUAAUAUUUAUAUAUUAUUUUUUUCUUUCACUUUGGAAUUUAAAAAUAAAAAAACUAUUAUCAAUUUUAUGUGAAAAUUGAGUUUAAAAAAUUGUUAUUAAUUUAUUUUGUAAAAAAAAAAAAAAAACAAAAAACAAAAACGUGAGAAAUUAUCUUCAAGAGACAACUUUCAGAAAAAUAAAAAUAAACUUCAAAAAUCCAUUUUUCCAUUCCCUAUUAUACUUAUACUAUAGUACAAUUAUUAUAAAUAUAUAUAUUAUAAAAUUAAUUAAUUUUAUUUACUAAAUUUUAUUUAUAAAUAAUAUACUAAAUUUAAUAUAAGAUAAAUAAUAUCUAUCUAUUAUUUUUUUCUUUCACUUUGGAAUUUAAAAAAUAAAAAAUAAAAUAAAUAAAAAGAACUACUAUCAAUUUUAUGUGAAAAAUGAGUUUAAAAAAACAAAUUUGUUAUUAAUUUAUUAAAUAAUUAUUUACAAAAUAAAUAAUGUUGUUUUGUUUUAAUUUUUAAAUUAAUUUUAUUAUAUAAAUUUUAAGAUUAAAAAUAUUAAUCUUUAAGUUAAAAUUUCACUGUAAAAUGAAUAAAAUAUUAAAAUAAAUAAAUUAAAUAAUUUUAAUUAUUCUUAAUCUUCAAUUUUUUCUUUAAAUUAAUUCAAUUAAUUACAACUAAUAAAAUUAAUUUAGUUUGAUAUUGUUUUUUAUUUAUAAGAUAAAUAAUAUUUAUCUAUUUUUUAUGUAAACAAUGAUUUUAUAAAAAACAAAUUUGUUAUUAAUUUAUUAAAUAAUUAUUUACAAAAUAAAUAAUUUUAUUUUGUCUUAAUUUUAAAAUUAAUUUUAUUAUAUAAAUUUUAAAAUUAAAAAUAUCAAUCUUUAAUUUCAAAUUUCACCGUAAAAUGAAUAAAAUAUAAAAUAAAAAAAAUAUCAUGAUUAUAAAAUUAAAAAUUUUAAAAAUAAAAAAAAAAACAAAAAAAAAAAACCAAUAACAUUGUUCAUGUAAAUGCUAAAAAACCAACAAAUAGUCCAACAAUUAAUAAAAUAUCAACCAUGAUAAACAAAAUACAAAAUCAAUUAUUAUCAUGAAUGCAAAAAAUCAAUAACCUUGUUCAUAUAAACCAGCAACAAAGAGAAAUAUAUAUAUAUAUAUAUAUAUAUAUCAACUAAUAAUUUGUAUUAAUAUGUUCAAUCUCUAAACAAUCAAACGUAUUCAAAUACUAAAUGAUCAAAGAUCAACUACUAUUAUGAAUAAAAAAAAAAUAAUACCUUGUCCAUAUAUAUAAACUAAUAAACCAACAAAUAUCCUAUAACUAACAAAAUAAUAACGAUGAAUACCAACAAAGCUAAAAUAUUAAAAUUCAACAUUAUUAUAUGACAAUUUCAAUAUUAGCAGACGAUAAAUUAACAUACGUCACUAAUAAACAAACAACUAAUAAAAGUUAGCAUGCAUCACCAAUACAAAUAAACCAACAAGUAACAAAAGAGCAACAUGUAUCAUCAAUUUAUGUUCAAUAAAAUAUAUGAGUCAUCAAUGUGUGCCACAUGAAGGAGACUUCCUUCUUCGUUGUGGGUGUUGGUGACAUCUUUCCAACUCCGAUUGAUCUAAGGGACCAUCUAAUGUUGUUCCAUUUCCUCGUCCUCGGCCUCGGCCUCUUCCUCGUCCAUAUCUUUGAUCUUGAACUUGGUCAUCUCCCUGUUGUUCAACAAAUGGUGUAGGAAAGAAUUGCAUUUGUGUCGCCACAUCAUCUCUAAACGAAUGUCCUAAUGAUUGUGGUGACAAAGCAAUGAGUGGUGUUGUAGGUGGAGUAAAUGACACCUCAAUACUAGACGACAUAGGUAUAUGAAAAGAAGGCUCAUCAAUAUAAGAAUGCAAUAGCUCUUGGAUGAAUGAUGUCCCAACAUCUUCCUGUAUCACCCUCUCAUCAAUGGAUGAAACUGAUUAAUAAGGUAAUGACUAGUCAAAUGGUGUAGAAAAAGUGAAGGCAAUAUGUUGUAGAGGCCAUGUUAAUGGAAAAUCUAGUGAUGCAUCAUCGAUAGGGAAGUGUGGAUCAUUAGAAAUAUGGCAUCCAGGUGUUCGUACACUUCCACAUUUAGUUCCUACACCUCCACCUGUAGUCCAAACCCCACCACCUCUAGUUCAUAUCCCACCAUCUCUCAUCAUUACCUCCUCAUCCGAUGAUUGUCUCUAUGUAUCAACGACAUUGGGGGGAAUAAGCAACCUAUCAGCCUCAUGUAUAACCUCUAAAGUGGUUGCACAUAAUUGAUGAAUUUCAUCAUGAUGACCUAUAUUCGAAGUAUUUGGACCAAUCCACAAAUGUAUCUAUUGCAAACUAUGAUUCUAUAAGAAUUAAGAAUAAAAAGUUAGAUGUUUUUCUAAUUAGAAGAAAAUAGAAUAAUAAAUAAUAAUAAAAUACAUUGUAAUUACCACUAUCUCCCAUGAAGAUCCAAGUGGAGUAAGAAAAAGACGAGUGAUAGAACGAUACCACACCAUAUAUGGGUGGUUAUACCCAUAAGAAGUAGACGUUGCCUCAGCUCUAGCAAGAUGAUCUUACAUAGCCUCCCACCUUUGAAUAUAGUAGUGAUGAAUACUCAUCCAAUCUAAAUAUGUCAACCCCUCAAAUCAUAUUUAUGUAAUCUUAACUCUAUAUCGCACUGCUCGAGAAUAUGCUGUAAUAGCCUAAACUGCCUCAAAACACGAUCAGGUCUAUACCACUCCACUAUGUAGAAACAAAUAAGAGGUGAAAUAGUCAACCACAAGUCAGAGGCAAUAGUAUAAUAAUCUAGGAGUCCAAAGAUGACAUCAUCAGUAUAGGGCUCCCAUAUAAUCUGCAAUUAAAUUUUAAAUAUGACUCACAUUAUUUAAUAAUAUUUUGAUUACAAAUUGUUUAAAAAAAUUAUUCAAAAUAAUGAAUUUCUCAUCUACUUUAGCAUAAGUCAAUCAAAUAGAUACCUAUAUUGGGGUAACAAAUGCAUAGGUGUCGAAGUAGUACAAAACUCAUCUUUCCAACUACAAAAAGAAUAUAUAUAUUAGAAGUUUGUAUAAUUGUUUAUUUAUGUAUAUAUGUGUUUACAUAUGCUAUAACUAAGGUUGAAUACAUACCGCAUGCCUAAAGGUGGUUGUGGCAAUAUUCCAUCAUGUAGGGUUGAAUGUAAGUGCAUAGGUGCUAUAAAGGCAAAUAUAUCCCAUAUCCAUAACUGUAACAAAAUGAGAGAACUCGAUACAUCAUGUACAUCAAUACGGGAUGCUCGACACAUAUCUCGAUAUAGUCAAGCUAAGCAAACACUACCCCAACUAUAAGUAUCAAUAACUCCAAAAUCCUCAAGUAGUGGUAACAACAUUAAAUGUAUCAUAUUAUUCGAUUUAUCUGUAAAAAGAAAACCUCCAAUCAACUAUAAAAUGAAUGCCCUAGUAUAGCAUCGCACGGACUCCACAUCAGCAUCAGGUGCCAAUGAAGGAAAAUGCUCUGGCAACCAAGUCAAAUAAAGCCUUUGUCCAAAUAUAUCUCUAUCUUCAGGCACCACUCCUAACAAUGUAGCAUACACCUUUCUCUAAUCCAAGCAUGUGCUACCGUUAACUACAACACCAUCAAUUAGUAAGCCUGAAAUAAUACUAACAUCCUGAAGUGUGAUGGUACACUUUCCCUGAGGUACAUGGAAAGUGUGAGGUUCAGGGUGCCAUUUCUCUAUAAAUGUUGUAAUAAGGUGUCAAUCCAAUGAAAUGAAACCUAAUCGGGCAACACCAUAGAAUCUAGAUUGUUGCAAAUAUGGAAUAAUGUGGGCAUCUAAAACACUAUUACAAUAUAAAUUGGCUUCACAACAUCGACAAUGUAGCUCUCCAUGAUCAUUUCCUUCCCAUGUAAGCGAAUAUCAGUGUACUUCUUGGUUAUACAAAACAAAACAAUCUACAGGUCCAAGAUCCAUGAGAAUGUAUUAUCUACAUCAUUUAAAUAAUUUCAUUAGUUUAUUACAAGACAUUCCAAUGACAUUAUAUGGAAAUAACUCAAUGUCUAUCUUUAAUGUUACAAAAAACUUUCAUUUAAAUAGUAAAAUUUUCAACUUAAACUUACAAUAUCAUUGAACGGUUGUGUUAGAAGACUCUCUUCUGUUAAGGCAUUUUCAAUUAUUAUGACCUUUCUGUUUACAAAGCCCACAUCGGACUUUGACACUUGGUUCUCUCCAAUCCAUUUUAUUCCUAAUCCUUGAAUAUCUUGGUAUUUCUUUAUCACAUACUAGAGUUGGAUUAGGAUGAACAAUUGAAAAAUUAGGUUCUAGCUAAUAGGCUUGAUGUGGAAUUGAAUUGAAUUAUGGUGUAUAGCAACAACCAUAUGCAUUCAUCCUAUAAUGUUUGUUGACAAAUUGUCAAUAAUCAAUCCUUGCAUGUGCACAUGCAGCUAGCACAUGUGAACAUGGGAUACCAAAUGAUUGUUAUUUAUUAUAAAUACAUUGUUAGCCCAAGGGUUUUCCUAAUCGGGUUUUGAUGAUAACAAACCAUGGUUAAGUGACUAAUUGGUUUAAUGUUUAAGAAUCUCAAGUAUAAACUCGAAAAUUCAUCAAAUGACCAAAUGACCAAAUGGAUACAAAAUCGAGACGCUUGGAAAACUUGUGAUCAUAGAAAACUAAUGUAAGAUGAAUACAUGAGUGCACUUAGGAUUCUCAUACGUUUCAUGCAUCUUAGAAAAUUUGGUUUAUUCUUUAAAACGUCGAUUUCAUUAAAACCUCGAUUUCAUUAAAACCCGAGUUUUUAACUAAUGUACCUUAGGCAAAAUGAUUUAUAAUUGGCUUAAUAAUUUACCUAAAGACCUUGCCUAAGUGUUAGAAAAGAAAAGAAUCAAAAAAUAGGUUUUCAGGGCCAAAAAAGGCUCAACCGAUCGAGGCUAUGGCCAAUCGAUCAACCGGUUGAGGAACCGGUCGACCGGUUGUGGUUGUCCAGUUGAGGACCGGUCAAGGGAGGUCAAAAAUCUUCUCUCUCUCCCAAUAGCCUUCUCUUCCCGAUCGAGGUGUUUCUCUUACCGGUCGAGAUCCGAUCGAGGACCGGUCGAGGUCCGAUUGAAGCAACGAUAACCUGUCAUGCAUUAAAUGCUCCAACAGCUAGUGAACCGAUCGAUCCCUAGCUCGACCGGACGAGGUUACCUUUUGCUGACUUUGACUCCUGAGCUUAGAAACCUAUAAAUUGAGAGCUUCACUUCAUUUAUUGAUAAGAGAACACUUGCAUUCAAAGCCUACCUACCUGUUCUUGAUCAAAAAGCUCUCAUUUCUUUCAUAGUGCAUUAAAUCACCACUUGCAUAUCCUUUAGUGCACUCUUGUUUGCCAUCCUAACCUUGUCUUGUAUUUGAGCCAUCUUUAAGCUAGGUUGAGUGAUUAUAUCUUGUAACAAUCUGAGUGUUAAAGCCUUCAAGAGGGUUGAAUCUUGAAGAGGUUGUGUAAAAGCCUAUUGGAGCUGAAAUCCAAGUGUAAGAAGAUUGGAAGCUUGGUUGAAGCUUCAAGUUAGUGAAACCCUCACUCGGUUAGGAGAUUGAAGAGAGUGGACGUAGGCAAGGAAGUACCGAACCACUAUAAACCCGAGUUUGAAUUCUCUAAACUCUAUAUCUUUACUUUGCUUAUAUUUUGUUUAAAUUUGUUGUGAUUGAAAAGAUUUUAAAAAACCCAAUUCACCCCCCCCCCCCCUUUUGGGUGUUUUUCUUAGCUAAGCAUAGCCUUUGUUUUCUCAUACAUGUUCUUUCUUUCAACUUCACAAUUUGUAUAUUGUUUUCUUUAUCCAUAUGAAACUCAUAGGAAGCGAUUAUCACUUCAAAUAUCUCAUUUGUUAUUUUGUUAAUGGCAUAGGAAGUAUACAAAUCUCCAUUUGCAAUUCGAGCUUGUAUUUCUAUUCGAUAAGUCUCGAAAUAUGAAAUACAACGAUAGAAAGUUAAUCAAAUAAAAGCAGUGAUAGGUAACAUUCUAGCCCUUUUAAGCACUUCAUUUAUGUAUUUAGCAAUAUUUUUAGUCAUCCACCCAUACCGAUGUCCUCCAUCAUGUGUCAAAGUCCAUUUCUUCGCAUCCAACCUGUUAAACCAUUCUAAGCAUUUUUCAUCUAAUUGUUUUAACUCAGUCAUACAUGACUCAUACUUUCGUGGUUGAUGUUGAGACCCAGCUCUAUACACUAAGUCUUUUAAUAUCUUAUUUCUAAAUUUAUCAUUGAAAUUGCUUACCACAUGCCUAAGACAAUAUCAAUGGUAUGCAUAAGGCAGGUUCCAUCCAACACUAGGAUCCCUAACAGUGGCUUGUAUUCCUGUAUAACGAUCAAAAAUGAGACAUAUGUCUUCUCUUUGCGUGACUUGACUCCUUAAUGUAUAAAGAAACUAAGACCAACUAUCUGACAAUUCCUCUUCAACUAUUGCAAAUGCAAGAGGGAAGAUAUGACCAUCAGUAUAGUUGCAAUAAAAAAUUUCCCUAUAUAUUUUCCAUAUAAAAAAGUAUCAUCUAUUUGUAUUACUGAUCUACAAUGCUUAAAUACUUCAAUGCAUGCCCUAAAAGCCCAAAACAUAUGCAUAAAACGUACAUUUCCAUUGCAACCUACUAGUAUUGAUGUCUUCCAAACAACCUUAGUCUCAAGGUUAGUAAGUUUAACAAUAUUCAUUCACCUAGGUAAAGUUUGGUAAGAUUCAUCUCAAUCACCAAAUAUCCUUAUGAUUGUUUUCCUCUUUACUUCCCAAAUCCUCUUGUAAUGAACAAUAUAACCAAAUUUAUCUUUCACUAUUUGAUGUAAUGCAACAAUUGAAAUUGUGUGAUCACUUUGGACUACAUUUUGAACUUCUUGUGCAAUCAAUGUGGAAUCUAAUUGUGAGUGGUCUUGUGAUAGUUUAAGGUAAACACAAGUGUGAGGACCUGUGUACUUUGUUAUCUCAAACAAACCAUGAAAUUUAUAACGACAUGCACGAAACCUCCAAUUACAACCCUCAGACCACUUUUUGCAAUUUACGGCCCACAUAUCUAGCUCAGAUUCAAUAACAAUCAAAUAUUGAUUCCUACAUAUAGAAUAACGUUUAACAGUAUAUUGUAAGUCUACCUUACUCUCAAACCGCAAACCCUUAAACAAUUCAUUUGAUUCAUUCCAUAAUCUAGUGCAUGUUGCCAAAUCCUUGUCGACCAUGGAGUUAAUUACAUCCCAAUUCAAUUCUCUAAAUAUUGGGGAAGGGACAUCAUGUUCACCACCACCUAGCAAUGAUGCAUCAUUUUCUGUAUUUUCAUUAUCCUCCAUGUCCAUAAUAUCCUCAUUACCAUCAUCUUCAUCAAAUAACUCCACAUUGUCAUCAUCAUUUUAAGGUAAAAUAUCAACAUAAUUUUCAACUGCCAUUACAAUUGAAUCAGUGAUCCCUGCCAAAUCUACCAUAACUAUAGGUUUCAUGUCAUUAUCAUAACUUUGCAUAUACAUAAGGGAAGAUGUGUUCUCUUCUACCAUUUGUUGACUUGGACCUACAUCUUCAAUACGCAUUGGGGUAGUAAAGUUACUUGACAUAGAGUAAUUAUCAAUUGAAAAAGUUUGAUAAUACAUUUCAAUAGUAUUUGGAGGAGGAUAUUGUGCGACAACAGUAAACAUUAUGCUCACAUCACCAUCAUCUCAAAUAGGCAAAAAGACAUAAUUAAGAGUAUUCCUUCAAUUUGGAAAGGAAACUAGAUAUUAAAACACCAUAUUUAACUUGGUGUAAGUACGAUUAAUAUUCAGAGCAUGACACAAUUUUUUUUUUAACUCAUUAAAUGUUAUCAUACUAUUUAAAUAUGUAAAUUUAUAUAUUAUAUACAUUUAAAUAUACUUUUACUAUUUAACAUUUUAAAUAUACAUUUACAUAUUAUGUAUAUUUAAUACUCACAAUUACUAAUUUAUAUUACACACAAUUACUUUUUUUUUUAUAUUAUAUACAUUUAAAUAUUUAUUUUAAUAAAUCAAAUAACAUUUUAGUUUUAUUUAUACUUUUAUUUUUAUUUUUAUUUUUACAUCUCAUUGUUUUACAAUAAUUUUUUCAAUGAUUUAAGACUAACAUUAAUUUUAAAAAAUAUAUACGAUAAAUUAAUAAUUUCGGAUAAUGUUGUAUUUCUAUAGAUUUUAAUAUUUUUUAAAUCAUAUUUUAUGCAAAUAUAUAGAUAUAUGAUUAUUCUAUUAUUAUUAUUUUCUAUUCUCAUUUUACUAUUAUUUUAUUUUAUUUUUAAUUUUUAAUUUUAAUAUUUUAUAAAACAUAUUAUUUGAUUGAUAAAUAUAAGCAAUAAUCCAAUUAGUUCAUAUUAAUUAAAUAAACUAAUAUCACUUUUAUUUUUUGAAUGACUUAAUCUAUUCAUCUCUAUAUAAUAAUAAUUUACAAUAAAUAAUAUUCUAAAAAAAUUAGCAUAAAUCCAAUAAAUUAAUAUAUAUAUAUAUAUAUAUAACAAUAAAUAUCUAUCAUGCAUUAUAAAAUAAAUAUGAAACAAAGGCAAAAAUAUUACCUAGGAAUAAAAUAACAUAACUUUUAUUUUUUUUAAUGAUUUAAUCUAUUUAAAAUAAUAAUUUCGAAUAAAUAUUAUUCAAACAAAUAUUACAUAAUUCAAAUAAAUUUAAAAACUUAUAUAAUAAUAAAAACCAUACAUUACAAAAUAACUUGAAAUAAAAAUAAAGCCAAAAUAUUAUCUUUCAAGAUAACCAGUGUGAGUGUCCGAAGAAAAGAGAUGAAAUAUGCGAAGAAGUUCCCAGAGAGCAAUGAGAUGGAAAGUGAAAAAUUGGAUAGUAAAAAAUUGAGUUUCAAAUGGGGAAAAAUGAGAAAAUGAAGAUGAAGAGAUUUGAAGCCGAUUUAUAUUGUAAGUGAAAUUGAGAAAAAGUAUGAUAAGUGUAGUGUGUAGGAUAAAAGGUGAACGUUUGAAUGUUUCAGAAGAAAUGACAAUACUUGAAAUUGUCAAAUUGCUGGAGUGUUUAAACAUUUCAGAAGAAAUGACAACACCUUAAACGGUAUACAAAUUGGUUGAGUGUUCCAAUAGAAUUGUAAUGUAAUAGUGUGUGAAGUGGAGUGUAAUAUGUGAUGUCCCACAUCGGAUAGGGGAGGAAGUUCCUGGCGCUAUAUAUGUAGAGGCUCCUCUUAACCAAGUAGACGUGUUUUAAAGCCGUGAGGGCCCUCUUGGGCCCAAAGCGGAUAAUAUCUACAUGGUUGGGUACGGGUCGUUACAAAUGGUAUCAGAGCCGAUCCCCGACCCCGGUGUGGGGGUUUGUUUGGCUUUGUCUGUUUGGCCCUGCAAUCCCAUGGGACACAACGAGGACGUUGUGUCUGCAUGGGGGGGUAUUUGUGAUGUCCCACAUCGGAUAGGGGAGGAAGUUCCUGGCGCUAUAUAUGUAGAGGCUCCUCUUAACCAAGUAGACGCGUUUUAAAGCCGUGAGGGCCCUCUUGGGCCCAAAGCGGACAAUAUCUACAUGGUUGGGUGCGGGUCGUUACAUAAUAAGUAAGAUUCUCCUAUGGACUAUGGGUGUAGUACAUUGUUGGACUUGGGGAAAUGAUAUAAUGUGUGUAAUGGAGGCUUUGUGGUAAGUUAAAUUCUCUUAAAAAGAUGUGAAAUUAUUCAUUUUACAAUCAAAUUUUAACUUAAAGAUUAAUAUUUUUAAUCUUAAAAUUUAUAGAAUAAAAUUAAUUUAAAAAUUAAAACAAAACAAAAUUAUGUAUCUUAUAAAUAAUUAUUUAAUAAAUUAAUAACAAUUUUUUUAAAACUCAUUUUUCACAUAAAUUGAUAAUAGUUUUUUUUUAAUUCCAAAGUAAGAGAGAAAAAAAUAAUAGACAAAUAUUAUUUAUCUUAUAUUAAAUUUAGCAUGUUAUUUAUAUAUUAAAUUUAAUAAAUAAAAUUAAUUAUCUUAUAAUAUAUAUUUAUAAUAAUUGUAUUAUUGUAUAAGUGGAAUAAAGAAUGGGAAAAUUGACUUUUUGAAGGUUUUUUUUUUUUUUUUGAAAAUCAUAUCUUCAAGAGACGAUUUCUCACUUCUUUUUUUUUUUUUUAAAAUCGUCUCUUUAAGAGACAAUUUCUCAUAUAAAAAAUGGAAUUUUAGAAAUCGUGUUUUGCAAAGAUGAUUUUUUUUAUAAUUUUUUUAAAAGUUCAUAAAUCAUCUUUUGAAGAGAUGAUUUUUCACUUACAAUUUAUUUUCUCUUUCCUAUCUGAACAAAAUUACAAUAGAUUGGAAUUAUUUUUUAAAACUGUCAUACUCUUAUCAAAAAUUCGCUCCUCUUUCCUAACUCUUCACCCUUAUGGAAACUCAUAUUUUUUAUAAAAGUACGACAGUUUAAAAAAAUAAUUCCUAAACUACCGUUAUGGAAAAAAUAAUUUCAAAUUUAUCAUAGUGUUUUCCAAGUAGGAGAGAGAAUGUUAUUUCAUUUUAAAAUCAUCUCUUUGAAAAACGAUUUAUAUAUCAAAAAAAUCGUCUUUUGAAUAUACGAUUUCUAAAAUUCAUUUUUAAAAAAAUUUACAUACUAAAAUCGUCUCUUCAAGAGACCAUUGGGAGAAGUUGGCUCUUGAAGAAACGAUUUCCUCCAUGUUUGGGAGAAAUCAUCUCUUCAAUAAACGAUUUUCUCCCAAAAAAAAAAUCUAAUUUUCUAUUCCCUACAAUUUUUUAAAUUAAUGAUAUAUUUUUUAAUAAUAUAAUUAUUAUAAAUAUAUAUUAUAAAAUUAAUUAAUUUUAUUUACUAAAUUUAAUAUAUAAAAAAAUUAUGAUUAUUGAGAUAUUUAUCAACAAUAAUAUUUAUAAAAAUAUAAAUUAUGUUUAAUAUUUAGAUAUAGAUUUUUUUGAUUAUUUCUUUGUUGAUGGUUCAUAUGAACAAGAUUAUUAGUUUUUUGAACUCAUGAUAAUAAUUGUGUAGACCCCGUUUGGGAUUCAUUAUACCUCAUUUUUCCUACAGCUCAUCUUUGCAGGUGGAAGGCUCUCAAGGUGCCACAUGCUGUCUCCUGAUUGAUUGGUAAGGAAUCACAAUAGUGCUUUUGAAGAAGCAACCAAAAGGCGACACCUGGCAAGGAAUCUGCAGGAGCGUAUUCUUUCUGUUAUGGAGAGGGCCAGUUGCCAGAAGUGGAGGACCUAUUUUCUUCAAGCUAGCUACAUGAAACAUGUGUCGGAGCAGCUGACCGUGGCCAUGGCGUUAGUUGGGAUGGUGACCAGCUGAGUAAGGAAUAGGAGAGCAGUUGGGAAAGAGAAAAGAAGAAGGAGAAGAAAAAAAAGAGGAGAGGAGAGUUCGAGGGGGGAGCCUUUGGGGGAAAAGGGGUCCUGAUCUGGGCAUUUUCCAGAAGGGUCAUAAAAACAGGGGCUCGAAGUCAAGUGAGCUUCGAUCUGCGAGGAAGCUUUUCAGGUAUGGACCCUAUUCAUUACCUUCUCUAUUUUGUUUUUGGAUAUCGAUAAGACUCUAUUUUGGUGUUUGGAUGCGAGCAUUGGAGAUUUUAUUAUGUUCUUAUGGAAUCUGAGUUCGUUUGCCUCCAUGUUGUGCUUGAUUUCUAACUUGGCUUUCAACUUGUUUACACCGACUAUUUUAAACUGCUCUCCUCUGUUUCUUGAUUGUUUGCGGGUUAUCCUCGAUGCCUGGAGUAUACUUACUCAUUCUCUCUGUUCUGGAAAAUUUUGAGAAAAGAUUCAUCACAUGCUUUUGAUUUGUGGGGUCGUGCCUGCAUUUUUUUUUUUUUUUUUUUUAUCAUUCCACCCGAGGAAGAAUUAUGUUCGGCCGACGUUCCACCUUCUCCGGAUAUCUCACAUCCGGAAUUCAGUCCGGCCGACGUUCCACCUUCUCCGGAUAUUUCACAUCCGUCGGAAUUCAGUCCGGCCGACGUUCCACCUUCUCCGGAUAUUUCACAUCCGGCGCCUGACGCCGGAUGGGAGAGGAGGAUGAUUAAACUUCCCCGGUCAGACAUGUCCGGAUCCUCUGAUAGCGCUUACCCGGAGAGCAUCCACAGCCGACAAUUCAGAUUCCCCGGACAGCUUGGCUCGUCAAACACUCGUGAUUCACUGGAUCCUUUUCCGCCCACAAUAAAAAAGCAAACUCCGAUAAUACUGACGACCAAGUCUCCUGAACUGUCACUCAUCUUUAAUGCAAGAUAGAUUGGGCUUUGGUGGGGGCCCCACAUACAUGAUCUUAUGAUCAAUUGAUUGACUUGGUUAUUAUACAUGAUUUAUUUAUCCUGCUCUCUGACAUGCAUGCUAUUAUUCCUUAAUUGUGCACUAACCCUCUCUCUUGAUAGUGCAUGGUGGCUUAUUGCCGAGGUACGUACCUACUUUCCAUCUGAUCAUUGUUUAUGCAUAUUCAAACUCUCAUAUGUGCAUGAUCACUUUGGGUAUUCAUUGAUUUACUCAUCAAUUGUCAUGAUUGCUUCACUUUAUUAGUAGAGACCCGACUCUAGGGGCUUAGAGGGGUGCUACGGUUUUUGUCGUACCUUCCCAAUAAGUAACCUGACCCUCGAACCCGAUCCGAUUUUUCACAGACCACCUUUUCCAAAACAAUGAGUCACACUUAGGGUUUUUCUUUCUUAUUUUGUUUACCCUUUAAAAAUAAAACAAAAAUAAGUGGCGACUCCAAGUCAUUCUUUUAAUAAAUAAAAAUCAAUUUUUCGAAAUAAAAAUCGAAACGCAUUGAACCGAAAUGCGGGGUCCACAAAUUGAUUUUUUUUUUUUUAUCAUGGUUGGUACUUUAUUAAUUGUUGGGAUAUUUGUUGGUUUUAGUAUUUACAUGAACAAUAUUAUUGGUUUUCUUAUAAUCACGAUAGUAGGUGACUUAGAUUCUUUAAUAUUAAAAAUAUUUGAUAUUAAGGAUUGACUUGGUGUUUAUAUUUAUGAUAUUGUGUAUUUGAAUUUUCAGGCUUUUAUUUGGAUAUAUAGUUUUUGAAAAAAUGAUUUCUUAAUUUUUAUUUAUUCUUUUUUAUUUGAUCGAUUUUCUUGAAACCUAUAACAUUAAAACUUGAAAACAAAUAAAAAAUUUUAUAUAACAAAAUAUUUCCUCGAUUUUUUCUUAAUAAAAAAUAGUUAAUCAUUUCUAAUUUUAAGUGUAUUAAAUUAUUUUAAAAGAAAUAUUUUAUUAUAUUUUCAAAUUACUUUAGUUGCUUAUCAUUUAUAAUUACUAAAUAAAAUAUUUUAAUAUACAAAUGAUUAUUAUUUCUUUUAAAAUUGAUUAAUACUUAAAAAAUUAUAUCUCUUAAUGCUGAAAAUUUUAUUGAAAAUUAAUUUAUUGAAUAAUAAAUUAUUUUAUUUUUCUAUAUUUUAUUCAUUUUAUAGUUAAAUUUUAAAUUAAAGAUUAAUAUUUUAAAUUUUAAAUUUUAUAUAAUAAAAUUACUCUAAAAAUUAAAAAAAAAAACAAAAUUAUUUAUUUUGUAAAUAAUUAUUUGAUAAAUUAAUAACAAAUUUGUUUUUUAUAAACGCAUUUUUCACAUAAAAUUGAUAAUAAAUUUUUAAUUACAAAGCAAAAGAAACAAAAAAAAACAUUGGAUAAAUAUUAUUUAUCUUAUAAAUAAAAAACAAUAUCAAAGUAAAAUAAUUUUAUUAGUUAUAAUUAAUUGAAUUAAUUUAAAUAAAAAAAUUGAAGAUUAAAAAGAAUUUUUAAAUCAAUAUCUAAAUAUUAAACAUAAUUUAUAUUUUUAUAAAUAUUAUUAUUGAUAAAUAUAUCAAUAAUCAUAAUUUUUUAUAUAUUAAACAAUUUUUGCUUUUAAAGGAGAAAAUCGUCUCUUGAAGAGACAAUUUCUCCCAACUUUUUUUUUUCUUUUUUUAAGAAAAUUUUCUUAUUUAAAAAAUAAUUGGAGAUGAUUUUUUUUUUCUUUUUUAAGAAAUUGAUCUCUUCAAAAGACGAUUUUAGUGUGCAAAUUUUUUAAAAUAUGAAUUUUAAAAAUUAUAUCUUUAAAAGACCAUUUCUUUGGUAUAUAAAUCGUAGACAAUUUUAAAAGGAAAUAACGUUCUCUUUUUUAUAUGAUAAAAAUUACAAUAAAUUUGAAAUUAUUUUUUUCAUAAUGGUAAUUUAAGAAUUAUUUUUUAAAACUGCAUUACUCUCGUAGAAAAUCCUUGGAAACCCCACGGUUUGUUUUUUAUCAUGACCCUUGUGCGUACCAUAUAAACGCAUUUAAAACAUGGGAAAUACCAAUUUUCAUCAACCCAAUAAUUCAGUAUGUGGAGCAGAUCUCAAAAGACAAGGCCUUAAUUUUAAAACAUAUAAACGCUUAAAUUUUCCAUACAAGACAAAACGUGACGUGUCAGACAUAUUAAAUUAUAAGUGAGAUAGGUGGCACAUCACAUCCCAUAUAUAUAAACAAUUUCUUUCAUAUCACUCCACUGACCAUAUUACCCCAAGUCGAUUUAUGUAUACUAAUAUAAUCCUUUUUUUAUUUUAUUUUUUUAUUUUACCCCUGUGACUUUUCUAGAAAUCAGCGGAUUUUGAAUUUUAACACAUAUUUAAAGGUAUUUUCAAAUUUACCAUAUCUUUUAAAAAUUUAAUUAAAAUCUGUUUUUCAAAGAGACCAUUUCUAUUAAAUUUCAAAAUUAUCUUUAAAAAAUAAUUUCCGUAUUUAAACUGAUGUUUUCAUUGAUAUUUUAAAAAGUAUGGAAUGUUAAAAAAUAAUUUAAAUAAAAUAUAAAAUAUGAUAAUUCUAAAGAUUAUUUAAUAUUGUUCUAAAAUCUUGGAAAUAUUAGGAUAAGACUAGAAAUAUGUUCAACCUUCUUUGGCAACUAAUUUUUAAAAUGGUUCUAAAAAAAUAAUUUUUAAGAAUAAAUUUUUAAAACUGUUUUUUUUAUAUUUUAUAGAACAAAAGUCUAUUUAAAAAUUUAAAAUAUUUUUAAAAUAUUUUUAAUAUUUGUAAAUAUGUUUUAAAAAUAAUUUUAUAUUAGGAAUUUUAUUUUUAAUCAUUCCUUUUUAUAAUUAUUUUUUAAAAUAACUUUAAAAAAUAAAUUAAAAUAACUGAAAACAACUAAAAUAUGUUAUCUGAAAACACCUAUUUUCUAUUUUUAAAAACAUAAAACAAAAAAUAGUUUUUUAAUUGUUACACAUGUUUUUUUUGUUUUUUUUUUUUAUUUUGAAAACAAAAAGCUAUUCUAGAAAAUAAUUUUCAAAUAGACCUUUGGUCACUUCCUUGUCUUCAUUUUGACUCUCUUAAUGCUCAGAAAAUUAAAAAUGUAUUUAUCGAUUUUUUAUUAAUUUCAAAUACAAGUUGACAAGCCGUAUUUUCAAAAUAAAACUUCACUAUAAAAUAAAAAAUCGUAUUUUUAAAAUAUAAUUUCAACCUAAGUCAAAAAAGAACUUAUACGCCUAGAUGACAUUAAAAGGAGUUAUAAUUUGAAAAUAAAUUUGAAGAAAUCUUCGUUUCAAUUAUGGAAUCAGCCACUUGGUUUGUUGAAUGGAAUUAUGGAACUCAACUUCUGAAUCAAUCAGGCGGCUGAUGACUUCACGUUUCAAUUAUUAGGCCUGGAAUUCCUCCAAGAAGACGCAUGCUUCGUUUGAAUAUACUGAAGUGUCUUCCAUAUUAUAAAUUUUUUUUUCAUGAAAAAUGUUAAAUUACCUUAAUGAUGCUUGAUAUUGAAAAAUAAAAGCAACCCAGAUAUAAGGAUAUAAACGAAUAGAAUUAAGAUGUAAACAAUGAAACCCGAGAAAAAAUACAUGACAUUAUCUGAUUAAUGAUAAUUUUUCAAUAGGUAUCGAAAACAUGCCUUUUUUUGUUGCUCAAAUUGGUGAUUUAGAAAAUAUUUAUAAUUUUUUGUUACUAUUUUGUUUACUUAGAUUUAAUGAUUUGUAUUUGUCUCAUUAAAUAUGGUAACACUUAUAAUUUAUAAGAUUAAAAAUGAUAAUAAUAAGAAUUUAAUGACUUUAAUUGGAUCACAAAUUUAAUAUUUUAGUUUUUAAAAUUAGUUUAUAUUAUUUAAGAAAUUUAUGAGAGACCUAUAAGUGAUAAUUUCUUAUAUGAUAUGUGAGUACAAUUUGGAAACAAUAUAAAAUGUAUGAAUAUAAGUUAAGGUUAAUCAUGUGAGUAUCUUAUUUGUGUCCAUUUACUCAAUGGAACAAGAUUGUAUUCAAAUUAAAGUUUUUGACCUUAAAUUAUUAUAUCAUGUCGAUAUUAUUAUUACUUGUCCGUUUAUUUAUGAAUUUAUUUACAUAGUCAUAGAUUUAUUUUUUAUUUUUUUAAUAAGGUGUAACAUACAACACUUUGAAUUUUGGUUAAUUUGUAUUAGUGUCGUACUACUUAAUAAAGAUUGAUGUAAUUCUGCCCCAUGGGCCUCAACCACCUUGGAUUUUAUUGCUUAUUUUAUUUUCUUUUUAAAAAAAUAUAUAAUCAAGUGAGGGAGACAAAAAAUUAUAAGUGGGAUAGGAGUCAUCAGGGUAAUUGUCAUUAAUAUUAUAAAAAUAAUAUUGAAUAUUAAAAAAUAAUAUAAAUAAAAUAUAAAAUAUAAUAAUUUUUAAAAUUAUUGUAUUAUUUUUCUAAAAUCUUAGGAAUCUUAGGAUAAUGCCAGAAAUCUUUUGUCACCGCCUUGUCUACAGUAAGACUGUCUUAGUGCAUGCUCAGAAAAUUCAAAAUGUAAUUAUCAUGCUGGUCAACGUCGCAAUGAUCGUGAAGAUAUUUGAGUACGAAAGUAUCAAGGAAAUGAUCAAAUUUAUACAUGAGUUUUUCAUUUAUGGGAGAGUGGGUGGUGGAAGGUAGUGAGAGAAGUGGGUUAGUGGGUAGUGAGAAAAAUUAUUAUACUAUUUUUCUAAAAUCUUAGGAUAAGGCCAGAAAUCUCUUCGUCACUGCCUUGUCUUCAGUAAGACUCUUAAUGAAAAAUACAUUUUUCUAAAAUAUAGCAUUUUUUUCAUGAAAAAUGCUAAAUUAAUGCUUGGUAUUGAAAAUUAAAUAGAUUUUUGAACAAUGAUAUGAACAAAUGGAACUAAGAUAAAACAAAUAAAAUUAGGGUAUAAUAAAUAAGACCUAAAAAAAAUACAUGACACUGUCCGAUUGAUGAUAAUUUUUCUUUUUUUAUUAUUUAAAUAUUUCUUUGCUAUUUUGUUUACUUAGAUUUAAUGAUUCACGUUUAUGUCUCAUUAAAUACGGUGACAAUAAUGGUUUAUAAGACUAAAAAUGAUAAGAAUAAGACUUUAAUGACUUUAAUUGGAUCACAAAUUUGAUAUUUUAAUUUUCAAAAUUAGUUUAUGUUGUCUAAAAAAUUUACUAGAGACCUACCAUAGGUCAUUUCUAGUAUGAUUUGAGAGUAAGACUUGAAAACAAUAUAAAUUUUAUGAAUAUAACUUGAGGUUAAUUAUGAGAAUAUCGUAUUCGCGUCCAUUUAUUCAAUAAGUAAUGAUGGUGUUCAAAUCGAAGUCUUCAACUUUAGAUUAUUAUAUCAUAUUAAUACUAUUAUUUCCCGUCCAUUAAGUUAAACGUUUAUCGGUGGUAUUAUUUUCAAAUUGAAAUUUUCAACCUUAAAUUAUCAUCUCAUGUUGAUAUUAUUAUGAUUGGACUCCUAUAUGAUGACUUUAUUGACAUAGUUAUAGAUUUAUUUAUUUAUUUAAUAAGGUUCAUGCAUUUAAACAAAAUACAACACUUCAAAUAAUCAAUUUUAAUAAUAUAAAAAAUUAACCAAAAUUCAAAACUUCCAUCCAAAUCCAUUUUAUAUAAUAAUAAGUUGAAAUUUCAAAAAUGCCCUUCAACUAAAAGUUUUUGAAAUUCAAAACAUUUUAAACACUUCACUUUUUUGUAAUGACAUUUAAGGUGUGUGCCCACUUGUCUAAAAGUAUAAGAAAAUGAUAAGAAUGUUUUGUAUUUCUUAUAAUAAAUUAAUUUAAAAAAGUUAUAUGAUUUUUCUAUAUUUUUUUUUUCUUUGCAUAGUGUUUUUUUCUUAAUUUUUAUAUAUGAUUUUUCUUUUUUUAUUUUCAAUGCAUUGAGUGGAUGAGUAGUAUAUGAUAUGUUGGAUAUCAAUGAGGUAUAAAAAAGCAUCUCUAAUACUCUUACUUCUAUUAUAAAAUAAAAGUAUAACAAAAAUAUGUUAUAAUUAUAAUAUAAAUAUAUUUAUAGUACAAUACAUUAUAAUAAAACCUAAUUGAGAAAAUUUUAAACUUUUUUUUAUAAAAAUGAUAGUUUUAUAUGAUUAUAUUAUAUUUCAUAAUACACUUAUUCCGCGAAUCAUUUUUGAAAUCAAAUGAAGUACUAAUUUGAAUUUAUGAGACUUACAUAUAUAUUUAUAUAAUUAAACAAUUUUAUUACAUUGAGUGAAUAAUGUUAAUAUAUUGAUAUGAUGUAUUAAUAUCAAUGCCAAUAGGAUAUAAAUAGGCAUUUCUAGAAUUAUUAUUUUGGGAGAAUUAUGUUUUGGGGGUAGAUGGGCCCCAAAUUAACAAAAGGUCCAUAUAACCCUUCAAAUUGAGUUGAAGGAUAUGAAAUAGUAAUGGAUAAAUAUACCCUUUAAGAACAUAUAUAAAAUAUUUUAUAAAAUUAAGUUAAAUAAUUUUUUUUUCAAAAAUACUAAAUUAAAUAAAAGUAGUUUUCAAAAAUAUUAAAUUAAAUAUUUUUUUAAAUAUUAAAUUAAAUUAAUUUUUUUUCAAAAAUAUUAAAUUAAAUUUUUUUUUCAAAAAUAUUACAUUAAAUUAAAGUAUUAAAAAAAAUAUUAAAUUAAAUAAAUUUAUUUUUAAAAAAUAUUAAAUUAAAUAAAUUUAUUUUAAAAAAUAUUAAAUUAAAUAAAAUUAUUUUAAAAAAUAUUAAAUUACAUAAAAAUAUUUUUUAAAAAUAUUAAAUUAAAUAAAAGUAUUUUUCAAAAAAUAUUAAUUUUUUUCUCAAAAUCAAUAAAGGGCAUGUUUGGAAAUACUGAAGGAUGAUAUCCUUCAACUCAAUUUCUAUACUUUCAUUGGGUCUUGGACUCAAUUUGAAGAGUUACAUGGACCUUUUGUUAAUUUGGGGGUCCAUCUACCCCCUAAACAUAAUUCUCCCUAUUAUUUUUAUCAUAAAAUAUAAGUACAACAUACAUAUAUUAUACUUAUAAUACAAAUAUUACACUAACAUUACAACACAUUACAAUAUCAUUUAGUUUAUUUUUAUAUUAUAUUUCAUAAUAUACUUAUUCGAAUCAUUUUUGAAACCAAAUGAAGUACUAAUUUGAAUUUAUGAGACUUACAUAUAUAUAUUUAUAUAAUUAAAUAAUUUUACUACAUUGAGUGAAUAAUGUUAAUAUAUUGAUAUGAUGUAUUAAUACCAAUGCCAAUAGGAUAUAAAUAGGCAUUUCUAGAAUUAUCAUUUUUGUCAUAAAAUAUAAGUACAACAUAAAUAUAUUAUACUUAUAAUACAAAUAUUACACUAACAUUACAACACAUUACAAUAUCAUUUAGUUUUUUUUUUUUUUAAAUUUCAUUACAAUAUAAUUUAUUUUAAUUUUUAAAAUUUUUUCACGUUUCAUAUUAUCAAAUGAAUAGUUGUGUUAUUCAAUUGAAUAUUUGUAUAUUAUUUAGUUGAUAACUACUCGUGAAAAUAAUUGUUUAUCCUAUUAGCUAAUAAUAUUUUUAACGGUAUGUUAUAUAUAUAUGAUCACAUGAUAACAUUAGGAUUUGGUUUCUAUUUAAAAGAUAUUGAAAAUUAAUUCUUUUUAUCUACUUUUCUAAAAAUUUCUCAAAUUUUUUUUGUCACUUUUCCAAUUUUUUUUCAACCCCACUUAAUCAAAGAAGUAACCAAAACAAAUGAUAAAUUUAUUAAAUAUACUUAGAUUGAUGUGAUAAUACAAAAUAAUUUAUGAUGCUAAUACAAAGUAAUAAAUUACAUUAAUAAUACACAAUUAAUUAAACUAUCUUCACGUAAAUUCUAGCAUUCAAUUGGACUUAUCAUUUACAAGUUCUAAAUAAUAAAAUUAUCUUUAUGUUUGACUUUUCUUACUAAAACUUUGUUAAAUAGUAAGUUGAUAAUUUAAAAGAGAAAAAUAAUUUUUUGGAAAACAAGAUAUGCACUAUUUAUAUAUAUAAAAUAAAAAUAAAAAUCAUAUUUAAAAGGUAAAAUUGUCUUAUAAUAAAUUUUGUCAUUCAUAGGAAUUAUUAAGAUAAGUGACUUUUUCCAAUCAUUAUCAUUCCCAACCAACUUUUUUUUUUUUUUUAUAAUUUUCCUUUUGAGGCAAAGUUAUGGGUUUGAACCACUUAGAAUUUUAUUGCUUAUUUUAUUUUCCUUUAAACAAACAUAUAAAAUAAUUAGUCUAAGUAAGAGAAAAAAAAAUCAUUUUUCUAUUUUUAAAAACUGAAUAAUUAUUUAUUUUCCAAUAAAUAAAAAUAAUUGAUUAAUUCUUUUCUUAACAGAAGAUAAUUGUUGAAAAAAAAAUUAAACAUUUAUAUCCAUUGGACUCGUACAUUUUUAUUUAUAUAUUUAUUUAUAAUUAUAUUAUAUAUUAUUUUAUUUUAAAUUUAAGAAUCAUCAUAUUUAUUUAUAUGUUAAAAUAUCAUUGGUGGUUGAAAUUUGAGUUUAUUAUUUCAUUUAUAGCUUAUUUUUUAUGGACUUCUAAAAUGAUUAUUUUGUUUUCAAAUCCAAUCGCAAGUUGGAUUUGAUCAUGCGGAUUGAAUAUAUCGAUAGAAACCUCUGUCCUUUGAAAGCCCACUUAACCCUCUACGUGUUAGAGAAAUAUCUUUUGGGCCCAUUGGUGGGCUGCCCAACUUCUUUCAAGACAAAUAUUUGGGCCCAUCGGUACACAUGGGUCAUCGUUGGAUAAACCUCAUUAAGGUCGUUCCUUUGGGCCUAAAUCCGAAACGGAGAAACCUGGAUAAAAACGGCCCACCGUAAUCCAUUUAGGCAAAACCUUUGCCAAACAGGGCCUAAGUAGGCUUGGGCUACCUUAGAGCUCUCCCGCUGAAUGAUUUUUAGGCUGUUAGAUGACUAUGACCUGAAUAACCCAAUUAAAAUGGCAUAAAAUUUUAGGUUUAGGGGUCAAUAUUUGAAUAAUAAAAUUUUAAAUGAAAUAAAUAUUAAUAUAUUUUCACAUUCUAAAAGGCUUGCAUGCUUUUUAAUAUGGAUAGGGUUAACUGAAACCAUGUAAUUUGAGUAAAUGUUAUAAAUUUUUUUAAAAGAAAAUAAAUCUGUUUGAUAACUAUUUUUAGAAAUAGCUUGGAAAAACAAUUUUGAAAACAGCUUUUAAAAACCAUUUUCUAAUAUUUUGUAAAACAAAUUUAAAAACCUAAAAUAUUUUUAACAUAUUUUUAAUAUUUUUAAAUAUAUUUUAAACAUAAAUUUUAUGUAUAAUGUUUUAUUUUUAAUCAUUUUACAUGUUUAUUUAAUUAUUUAAAAAAAAAUCCUUAGAAAACAACUAGAAAUUAUUAUCUAAUAACAACCUAUUUUUUGUUUUAAGAAUAAAAAGCAAAAAAUAGUUUUUGAUUGUUAAACAUUUUUUUUUCUUUAUUCUAAAAAUAGAAAAUUGUUUUUGAAAACAAUUACCAAAUAGCCCUAAACUUUCCAAAUUAAACAUGAGAUUAAAUGAAAAUUUCAAAUAAAAAAUAUAAAAAUUUGAGUGAUAAUAUCUUUUAAAUAUUUUCUAAAGUAAUUUUUAUAAGAAAAUGAAUUUGAUAAAGAAAAAAUAUAAAUAUAGAUAUAAAGGUUUAAAAAAAAUUAAGGUUGUACUGGGUUUGUUGGACUUUGUUGCAUCUCUAUUCUUAUACAAAAAAAUUUCAUUGAAUAUGAAAUCCCUACUUCUAAUCACUUUUUUAUUCUGGUCAUCCCAAAACUUAUAACCAAAAUAAUCAACACCAUAACCAAUGAAAGUAUAUUUUAGUGAUUUAACAUUAAGUUUGUUUCUGCCAUGAUCAUUAAUAUGUACAUAUAAGACACAACUAAAUACCCUCAAAUAAGAAAGCUUUACUUCUUUUUUAGUCCAUAGUACUUCUUCUGGUAUUCUGUGUUCCAAUGGUGUUGAUAGUCCCUGCUUUGGCAACCCUACCUGUAUACAUAUGCUUCUAGCUUCUCAAUCAAUGUCCUGUUCAUUUUUUUUGGUAUACCAUUAUAGUGGGAUGUCCCUAGCAUAGUCUUCUCCAAUUUAGUUCCAUUUUCAUAAUAGAACUUCUUGAACUCAAAGUCUUUAUACUCCCAACCAUUAUCAGACCACAACUUCUUAAUUCUCAUACUUGUCUCAUUCUCCACCAUUGCUUUCCAUCUCUUGAAUAUAUUAAACACUUCGAAUUUGUGUCUCAUAAAGUAUACCAACACUUUCCUCGAAUGAUCAUCAAUGAAGGUCACAAAAUAAGAUCUUCCUCUAAUAGCUGAAACUAAUGCGGGUCCCCAAACAUCUAUGUGAACUAACUCCAGUUUUGCUUCUUUUGGAGUUCUUCCAACUUUCUUGAAGUUAACUCUUCUUUGUUUCUCAAGUAUGCAGCUUUCACACAUGUCAAUGUCAACUGACUUCAAACUUGAUAGCUUCUUAUUCAAGUGCAUAAUUUCCAACCUUUUACUGCUCAUGUGACUAAGCCUCUAAUGUCAUAGAUUCAAAUCUUCUUUUCUCUCAACAAUUACAAUAGAUUCACAAACCAUCUAUUGUCAUGUAAAGAGUACUACUCUUCUCACCACGGGCAACAAUCAUUGCUCUCCUUAAGAUUUUCCACAUGUCACCUGCAAAAGUUGUCACAUAGCCAUCUUUCGCCAAUUGCUCAAUAGAAAUAAGAUUAUUUCUUAGGCUUGGAACAUGUCUCACACUAUCCAACUUCCAUAUAUACACAUUCAGUUUGAUCUGUACUUCACUUUUUCCAAUGAUAUCACAUGCUUAGUCAUCACCUAGAUAUACCUUUUCCAGAUUACCUGAGACAUAAUUCUCAAAUAAUUCUCUACUUAAGGUAGCAUGAAAUGAUGCCCCUGAAUCCAACAUCCACGAUUUUGUUUUGCUUUGCAAAAAGCAAAUGAAAGCAUCAUCCGAUUCUUCUAACAUAACAUAACAUUUGCAUUGGUCUUGUUGUCACCAUCCUUAUCCUUCUUGGUAACCUUGCACUCAUUCUUAUAGUGUCCAUUCUUUCCACAGUUCCAACAUUUCAUAUCUUUCUUACUCAUCUGAUGUUGAGAAUUUUUAGAAUUUUUGGAUUUUGGCAUGUCAUUCCUCGAUUUGGAUUUGUCACACUUAUUAUCUUUAUUUUGGUUUUUGUCUUUGCUCUUCAUGUUUAAUGUUGAUCUUGAAUUGGAAAAACUUUCUUCAUACUUCCUGAUUUCCUUGGUCAUAAUCAUGUCCAUUACUUCUGAAAACACCAAUUUCGAUUUUUCGGAUGAACUACUGAUUGAAGUGACUAUGUCUUUCCAACUCUCAAGCAAUUAACCAGGGAUUAAUAAGGCUUAAAUCUCAUCAUCAAAUUUAAUAUUAACUGAAUUUAAUGGAUCCAUGAUCUUAUUAAAUUCAUUCAAGUGUUGCUUGAAAUUCCUAUUCUCAGGCAUCUUCAAAUUAAACAACUUUUUAAUCAGGUAUACCUUAUUUGUUGUAGAGGGUUGUUCGUACAUGCUUGUUAAGGCAACCAUGAGAGACACUAUUGUGUUCUUGUUUUUUAUGUUGAAGGCAACCGAUUUCGAUAGGGUUAGCCUAAUUGUACCAAGAGCUUUGCGAUCUACCAAGUUCAAUUCAUUUUCAUCCAUCGAAUAUGACUUUUCUCCUAAUGGAAAAUAUAAAUCUUUUUGGUACUAUAAAUAAUCAUCUAUCUAUAUCUUCUAGAAACUGAAAUUCGUACCAUUGAAUUUCUUGGUUUUGUAUGAAUCCUUCUUUGAUCUCAUUACUUCUGCUACGGUGUUUGGUUAAACACGUCAAACCAAGGAUUUGCAAACCUAAGGCUCUAAUACUAGUUUAACCAAAUCAUGAACACAUAAAACACGAGGUUUUUAAUGUAGUUCAACAAUCAAUAUGAUCCUUAUAUACAUGAAGUACACCAACACUCAAGAAUCCACUAAUCAAAAUGAAUGAGAAGGAGUACAAUGGUGAAGCUCUCAAAAAACCUCUCAAUUGCGAUUGCACUCACUAAAAAACAAAACCCUAAAACAUAAAAAGGUUAAAAUAUGGAAUAUGGACAAACUUGUCAAUCAUCAUAUAAAAUAUAUAAUAGGAACUCAACCCCUACGAGCUGAUUGAGCAGUUUGACCCUCAACAUCCCAAGCAAAGCACACCAAAGUUGGUUCAAGCUUUACAAUCCAACAAAAAGUAUCUAAAUUUGAUUUUCCCUAUAAAUUAUCCUAGACCAUCAGAUUCCAUGAGAGACACCCAAAAUACUAUAAUAAGUUGUAACCAUUCUUGUGCUUUAAAUGGGCCAUGCAACCUAUAAUCUCACUCGGACCAUUAACAAAAAUCUGUAGCCCAGCCCAAUAAAGAUGAAAAAGUGAAAACACAGUCUGCUCCAUGAAUUCACGUGGGACACAUUCUUUGGCUGAAAUCAAACCACUAAUGGAAACCCAUGAAAUCUCUACAUUAGGUUUUGUCCCUAAUUCAACAAUAUCUUUUGGGCUGGCCCAUGGAUUGCCCCUUGGACUCGGCUACAAUUUAAACCUAAGUGAAGUACCACAGUUUCGAAGGACUUUUAUGAUCACUGCAAUUGUACAAGUGGAACCUGGAUCCAGAUGUGGAUCCCUAUGAAAAUUGGAAGCAAAAAUUAAAAAGUAAAAAAAAAAAAAAAAAAAGGCAUGUUAUCGGUAUUUUUAGUAAUUUUUUAUUUUUAUAUUAUUUAUUUUACAAAAUGUUUAUAAAAAAAAUUAAAUUUGUGAUUAAAAUAACUCAAAAAUACUUAUAAAUAUAUUGAAAAAUAAUAUUAACACAUGUAUUUUAUAUAUAUAUAAAAUUUUAUUUAUUUCAAAAAUUAAAUAUAAAUAUUACAUAACAUAUUUCAUUGUAUAUGUAUCUUGUCCUUUAAAUAUAACAUUCAAGAAUAUCAUAUCCAGUGAAAAUUAUAUCUUAAGAUAUAAGUUUCCUAUCCAAUGGGUUAUCAUAUCCUUACAUAUACAUAUAAUAUCUUAUCUUAUUUCGUCGACCAAACAUAACUUUAGUUAUUUUAAGGGUUUUCACUUUAUAAUUAUAUACAAAAAUUUAAGAUUUUUUUCUUGAUAUUUAGAGGUAAAUGCACCAAAAACUUCAAGGUUAGGUUUGAUUUCUAGAAAGUAUUAAGAAAAGAAUAAAAUACUAAGACAAUAUUUAGUUUUCAUAAAAUAUAAAAGAAAAUGUAAAAGAAAGAAAAUAAAGAGGAAAAGUAGAAGGAAAGAAAAUGCGAAAAAAAAUAUAAAAAUAAGUAUAAAGUUAAUAAAUUAUUUUUAUAUAUUACUUUAAUAUUAAGAUUAAAUAAUUAGAAAAUACAUAAGUUUCUAACUAAUUUUAAUUAUAUUUUAUUUAUUUUUAAUAUUUUUCAUAUUUCAACCAAUAUAUGCAUUUUUUUUCUUUUAUUAAUAUUUUUGAAGAACCAAAUAUAACCCACUGAAAACAAUUUUCUCAUGUUUAAUCCUUCUAUAAAAAUACGAAAAAAAAGUCAAUAUGAAUAAAAUUAGUUAAAAAUUUAUGUAUUUUCAAAUUAUUUAAUUGAGGUAAAAUACGUUAAAUAAGUUUAAAUUAUAUAAAAAUAAUUUAUUAAUUUUUUUUUCUUUUGUCUUUUCUUUAACUUUUUCUCCCUAUUUUAUUUUCUUUCAAAUUUCGAACAACUAAAUAUAGUUGAAAUAAAAGGGAGGAAGGGGUGUCUAAAUUAUAUGGGUCUUCUAAAUUGAAACAUACAUUCAAAUCUUAUUGGGACCCCAUUCCAUGCAUGCGAACAUUAAUGAAAUUAAAAAAACCAUAGCAUUUUGCUUCACUUUUAGGUCGGAUCGUUUUGAACUUCAUAAAAAAAUUAAAAACAAUAAACAAGGAAGCUUGGAGAUGGGUAGCUGAAUAAAUGAAUUUUGACAAAGAAUUCUUUUGAAUUUUGACAAAGAAUUCUUUUGAAUUUCUUUAAUUUAAAUAUAUUUCUCUGAUUUCACGUAUUAAUUAAAUUUCAUUAUUUGGUAACUAUUUUUUAAAAUAUUUUUUUGUUAUUCAGAACAAAAAAAGACAAAAAAAAAAAAAAACAAGUUAAUAAUAAUAAAAAAAAUUAUAUUUUUAUUUUUAAGAAUAGAAAAUAAUUUUUUUAAAUAUCUUUUAAUUGUUUUAUGUUCUUUCUAUUUAUUUUUUGAGGACUAUUUUAAAAAAUAAUUAUACAAUAAUAUAGAAUGAUUAAAAAUAAGAUACGAGAUAUAAAAAUUAUUUAAAAAUAUUAAAAACAUGUUAAAAUAUUUUAGGUUUCAAACAAGUUUUUAAUUUAUAAAAAUGAGGCAAUAAUUUUUAAUAACUGUUUUUAUAAAUUGCUUUGGAGGAGUAUUUUAAAAUACAAUUACCAACGUACCCUUUUAACUUUUUGUACAACAAACUCUUGUAGAAACCUUGAAUCAAAUUAUAAUAAUAUUAAAAUGAAUGACUUGUAGGCAUGGACGACUUUUCAUUGAAUAAGACAGUAAGAUGAAAACAAAUAUAGAGAGACACUUCCAAGAAUGGAGUGGACGAUAUAUUUCCUGGAUCGAUCCUGCUGGACCUCAAACUAUGAAUGAAAAAUGAAAAUAAUCUGAGUCUGAAUCUUUCUUUAAGGUUUGAUAUUUUCUACCACUUUGUUCUUAAGCAUUUUCUACUUAUCUUGGAAGUAGAGGAAAAAUGGAUUGAGCCCAUGGUCUAAUAACCAAGGAGAUGUCACUAUGAUCGCCUCAUCGUCUGAAUUUCAAUACGAAAAUGGUGCAAUUAACAUUAUAUAAAAUUGAGUACCGUCAUCAAUACCAUAAAAUAUUAGGUCAUAUUAUUUGAUCCAAACAAGAAAAUUGCAGGAUUAAGAGUACAUUAUUCUCAGAUAACUUUUACAGGAACAUACACUAGAUGUCCAUUAAUUAUAUUUCUUAGCCACAAGGCAAAGAGCAUUCUUCUUGUGCAUUGCAAUACCAGGUAUGGUAUCAAGGUCUAUGUCUUCCUCGUUCAUUCCAGCAGGCAUUUCCCAGUCAAAUGAGUGAAGAAGAUUAGCUAGUGUCAGCUCC